GAGUAGGUCCUAAAAGAGGAUCGUGUCAGACCUCUUAUUUCCUAACGUUUGUGAAUGCAAAGGACAAGAGACAAGGAAAGUUAGUUCAACACAUAACACGUUGGACAAUUAAAAAGCAACAAAGAUAGAUAAGGAAAAAGGGGUAGGACCCCUCCCCUCGUGAAUAGUGUUUCCUAAUUUAGGGUAAGGUUGACUCUACCCUAGGCAAUUCUAAUAUGGAUGCGUGAGGUUGGGGUUCACUAAUGCAUCUAGACUCGACAAGCUCAGGUCCCCGAGCCUUCAGACUUGGAAACCAAGGGUCAUCACUCCCAAGGUUCCUUGUCGGUGGCUCGAGCGAUUCCCCAGACGUUGCUACGCACACGUCGUGUCAUGGCUACACGUCUGGACGAAUCUAAAAAGAAUCCUCAACCUUCGACUAAAAACUAAUAGGUUAUUAACCUAAAGUUUAAAGCGAAAGAUCGAGUGACCCCUCGGAUCAUGCUACGCACACUUCAUGUCACGAUCACACAUCCAAGUGGGUCGCCUAAUAAUCCUAAUAGGGUGGAGUGGCGUGACAAGCCACUAAAAGAAAAAUAAAUGAAGGGUGAAAAAAUUAAGGCGUAUACUCGUAUGCUAGUGCUCGUUUGGAGGGGAGGGAUCGAGAACCAACGCGAGACUCUAGGGUAACACACCCCCCCAAAUGCAAUGCAAAGCGCGAGAUAAAACAAGUAAAACAUACAUCCAAGCAAUCAAUCAUACAUACGUGAGUAAGGGAGUAGUUCGAUAUGCGCGCGAGGCAAAAGGUCCUAAAAUGCAAAAUGCAACCCUAAUAUCCAAAUGCUACGCAUAACAAGGGUAGAAAACGGAAAAGAAUGGCUAAAUCAAAUGCUUGGACCCACUUAGGAGUUCCCCAGUGAAGUCGCCAAGUUGUCGCGCCCCACUUUUUAUAUUGGUGUGUGUAGUGUGUAAGAUAUGUAUGUGAACGUGUGUGAAAGUGAAAAGAAAAGGCCGAGUGAUUGUGAAAUGCGACGGUUUGGUCAAAUAAACUUCAAAAAGGUUUUUUGAAUAGAAAAACGGAGUCGCCACUUGGUAUAGAGUUAAGGUGUACCAAGUCACCCAAAAAUGAUUUUAGUUUUUUUUGAACAAAAAAAGUAAAUAAACCCUUUUAAAAACUUUUAGGUCUACGUAACCAAAGAAAGGGAUCGGGGGGAGAAGGCAAAGUCAGAGCCUAAGGCACUCCCUUACCCUAGCAAGAGCCAGUUGCGUGACUUAGCCCCACUUUUCCUAAUUCUUCUACCCAAGGUAUGUAUCGCAUGUUGGAUAUGACUAAUGGAUGCGAAAAAGAAAGAAAAAAUGCAAUUCUAAAUCUAAAAUGUCUCCUAUGAGGCUUUUUGGUCCCAACCACAUGAAUUGUGGUGGCCAAUAAGGAAAGCUCUCAUAGAAGUCCUAGUUAAUGCAAAUGAGGAUUCAAGUGUAAGUGUGCAAGCGUGAGAAAAUAAAAGUGUUUGUGUGCAAAUGAAUGAAAAUAUGAUAGUAGAUAUAUAUAAGUGCAAUCUGAGUGCCAUUUGUGGGGUAGAAAAUAAAUGAGGGAUAGGAAAAAGGUGGUGAGAAAGUGUGAAUUGAGAAAAUGUGGUUAAAAGAGUGAGGAAGUGAUAUGAUAAAAAUGAAAGUGUAUGACCCUAAAGGAAUGCAUCAAAUCGAGCACGGGAUGCACUCCUAACUUUACGACUUUGAUUUUCCCUUGGAUUAGAAGGAAGAACUAGCGUGCUAAGGCUAUUUUGUAGCCAAACUCGCUCGUUUCCCUUAUCGAAAGGGGACUCUCAAGCAAAUGUACCCUAUAACUAGCAUGAAGAUGCAAAAGCCUAGAAUGAAGGGGAAAGGAUUGGAGAAGCAUGCUAAAUGAUAGAAAAACUAAGAAAAAUGCAUGAAAUGUAGUGAACAUGCAAGUAUGUACUAACGAAAGGGGGACGGCCUAUUGGGUCUAGCGUUGGACUAGCCCUUUCUAUGAAUUCCUACUAGCGUUGGACUAGUGGAAAUGGACAAUGAGCCACAACUAGCGUUGGACUAGUGUGGUGAUGUACAUUCAUCCACCACAUUCAUCUACGACUAUAGAAAACAAGUAGACAUGCCAAACACUCAUAAACAUGUAGCACGUAACACUUAGCAUGCUCGACUAAAUGCAAAGGCCUAAUAAAGCAAAUAACACAUAACACAUAAGCAUGCAACCAAGCUAAUGAGCCUAUUACAUUUGCUAAUUAAAACAAAAGGAGAAGGGGAAAAUGGACAAAAUUGCUCUCCAAGCCCUAUCUAUUACAAGCCAAGAGGUGUACACAUACCCCAUAAAAGAAUAACUUAAUAAAAGCAAAAGUAAGUGAAAUAAAUGAAAGGAAUUAAGGAAAAGUAAGGAAAACAAUGUAGACAUGCAAUUCUCACUCAACACGUUGAAUCACAUAGGGCAGAGACAAAAAAGAUAAAAGAAAUUAUACCUCCCUUGAGUUGAUGCCUUAAAUGGAGUGAAAUCACUUAUUUAUCCUCCAAAAUAAAAGAAAUGAUCAAGGUACCAAUUUAUUUGGAAAAAUUAAAGAAAAUGUGCAAAACAAAUCUCACUUGAUCAUGAAGCCCCUAAAGUCAUGACUUAAGUGCAAUUGAAACAAAGCAUAGUAAUUACAUGAAGCAAACAAACAAUAAGGUUGUAAAAUUAAGGCUGCCAAGGACCAAAUUGAGGACAUUAUUCAAUUGGUUGGGUCAUAGUGGAAUGAAGGGAGACUUGGGGGGUCAAAAUGCAAAGUUCAGAAAUGUCUCAUGCAUGUUCAUGCAACACACGCAGAAUCUUUUCUCAUUUCAAAUUUCCUUCCCUUUGCAACAUGCAGCGUCCCAUUUCCAACCGAAGCACAUUAUCAACGAACAAUCACUUUCGAAUCAAAACAACCGUGAGAUCCCACUCCCCUAAACAUCAACCAAACCCAAAGACAGCAGAAUCUGGAAUAUAAGUAAACAGCAAAGAGAAGAAAGCACUUUGGCCAGAAUUUUCUGCAAAUUUCUGCUGCAAAGUUCCUACGCCUUUCAGCUCAUUCAUCAGGCAGAAUUAUCGCUCAACAAACGAUAGAGAGGAAAGUGACUACGGUCUGUGAUUUCAUAAAACUCAAUCCUCUUAACAGGAACAUCAACUACCUUCAACUCCAGUAGAUUAAAUUCCAAUAUACGAAUGCACAAGACAGAAGAGAGCCAAGCCACGGAAAAAGGAAAAAACAGCAACUCACGCAACUUUACCAGUCCUAAGCAUUCAACUUUGAUCAAAACUUUCCAAGCAAAGAUCAUAACUUUACACUAAGCCACAAAACACAUAACAAACUUCAAAGGAAAUUAUCUAAGUUCCGGAAAACUCUCAUGCAAAAUGGUUCCAAAACCUUCUUGUUCACAAAAAUGCCUUAGACAAUUCUGAUUGCAGCAAAGACUCUUCAUUUUCGUGCAUAGGCUUUAGCCUCAAUCACAAAUCUUUAGCACCAUUUAACCAACAUCACAAGAACCAACAUCAAAAGCUUUUAGAUUUCUAGCAAGAAAAUAACUUCCAAUACUUCAACAUACAAAAAUCCAUUCCAGAAAUUCCGUACUUUUUCAGCAACUUUAUCGUCAAAACAGCCAUGAAGGAAUAGAAUACAAGACAAGACGUGCAUGAUCAAAACACUCAAACAAAUCUAUUUUUCCGACAAGCAACCUCUAAAUCUUCAAUCCCAACUUCCAGAAAGCAAACCCAGAACAUCAAAACAAGAUAAACCCAUCAUAUCAAAACAUGUCAAACCUGCAACUUCCUACCGUGAACUUGCGGACCAGAUUAAGGAUUAUGAAAAUCUAAUGAAAAAAGAAAGAAUAUACAAUCUGCUGGGCUUGCUUGGAGAUAUGAAACAAAAGGGAUUACCUUUAGCACCUUAGGAAGUUCCGUGCGCAAAGAAGAAUCGAAGAGAGGGCGUAUAGACGUCGACUUCAACAAGACAGACUUUGGGUGAAGAGAUUUCUGGAAUACCGUAUGAAGUGGAAACAAACGCUUCUUCUUGUUCGACCACCGCCUCCUUUUCCUUUCUUCCCCUUGCAGCCUUUCCCAGUUUCUUCAGCUAUCCAUCCGUUAUUCUUUCUUUCCUACUUGAACUCUCCCUUUUUCUUUCUACUCUCCUUGCUGAUUGUCCUCUCUCAAAAAUCUCUCCGCUGUCACCAACCUUUUUCUUUCGGCCAUCCCCAAAACCUCUAUCUCUCUCCGCCUCCUUGGUUUCUCUCUAUUGCUCUCGGUUCUUUCCCAGCCGUCACUCUUUUUUUUUCCGAUCUACUGUUUUCUUUUUUCUAUGCCGCCGAACGCCACCCCCCGAUCCACUGUCUCUCUCCCUCUCUCUUUCUUAUCUCUAUCCGCCGCCCCCCUCUUGCUCUCAUCAUUUUCUUUUUAUAUGGGAGAAAAAUCAACCCUAAACCCUUAACCAUCCUUUCUAUAUUUGCAGCCAAGGGCUGCCCGAACCUUUCUUUGCAAGCUGCGAAAAAACGCAGCUUGCUGUUGCGUAUUCCCCCUUUUUUUUUUAGAUUAAUUAAAACAAAUUUGAUAAUAAAAAUAAAUAACAAAAAUAAUUUAAUUAACAUUGGAUAAAAAUAAAUAAACUAGAAACAACAAAGUGCAAACUCCAUUUUCUUUUCUUUUUUCUUUUCCUUUUUCAUCGUUUUUCUUCUUUUCCUUUUUUUUCAAAAUAACUUAACAAAAAUAAAUAAAAAUGCCAAAAGAUUGAAUUAAAAAAAUAAAAUAAAUAAACAUAUUUUGUGAACAAUUUGUCUUUUUUUCUUUCUUUCUUUUUCUUUUCUUCUUUUUCUUUCUUUUUCUUUUUGAAUUAGUAGAUAAAAUAAAUGUUCGUAAACUAAUUAAAAUAAGAGACACGAAAUAGGAAUUAACUAAAAUAAACCUAAAAUUGAAACAAAUAAAUCUCAAAUUAAACUAAUUAAAUAAAUAAAAUUCAAAACCAAAAUUUUGGUGUCUACAAGAGUGUGAAAAUUUGAAAAAUUCCUUAUAUUUUUCUUAAAAAUUUCCUUUAAUUUGGAAUUUAUUACUUUACAGUAGCUUUACUACACAUUCACUUUCCCAAUAGUUACAAAUAAUCAUACAAAUAAGGAUUUCCUUUUUACUUUCAUCGUUACAAUAAACUAGGGUUUUUACGUCUUUUCGUAAUAUGAAAAUCGGUACGGAGUGUGUAUUAAAUUUAGUGAUUAAGAGUGAGUUUUAGAUGAUAUUAUAUGUGUUAUUAGUAGUAAUAAUAAUAAAUUAGUGAAUUAUAAGUGAAAACCCUAGUACGGUCGAUUUACGGAAAAACGGUGUGAACCGACGUGUGCCGUUGACUACUGAUUGAACACACCACUUGACCACCAAUUUCUUAACUUGAUCUCAUUGUUAUUAGUGCAUAAUAUCACCCCCUCAUCAGAUCAUUAUGGCUGAAAAUGUUGACCAUUCAAACCAAGGAAAAAAAAUUCAAGAUCAAACUUUGUGGUGACAAGUGGAAGCAAUCCAACCAAUUUGACCUAAACUAAGACCAAGCUUCUUAACCUUUCUUGGACUUCAUUCUUCUUCAUUUUGCAGCUAUGGUGGCCGAACCUUGAGAGCAAAAAAAAGAGAAGAGAGCUUCAAUUCCAUCUUAAGUUUUAGCUCAGUUUGAGUGAGAAUCAAGAAUCCAAACCGAUUAAUCUCUCAGUUGAGCACUUGGAAAGCUUAGGGUGCUAAAAGUUUUACAAGGAGAGGUGGUGAAUUUAUUUUGCAAGCAUUUUAUUGAGGUAUCAUGGCUGUCCAUCUCAUUCUUUCCCCUUAAUCUUACUUAAGUUUAUGUAGCAACUUGUAUUCUUGGCUUACGAUAGCUAUUAAAAUAGUUUGAUAAUUAUGGUGGAUUUGUGAGUUAGGGUUUUGAAUUGGUUAGUUGUAUUUCUUAUUGUUUAGACACAAUAUGAUGUGAAUAAACUUAGAUAGGGAGUGGUAGUAGUGGUUUUAUACAUGAAUAAGAAGAUUAUCACUUGAAUGCAUUAAUUGCAGUUUUAAGUUUUGUACUACUCUGUUUUGACCAAUUUCAUUCGGUCAUGAUGGAGCCAGAAUUGGGCUUAGAUUAAAACAUGAAAGUUGUAGGAAAUAAUGAUGUUUUAUAGCUUCCUGUAAAAGUUCAGCUCAAUCCAAGCACUGUAUCACAUGAAAUGACAAAAAUACCCUUGACUGCCAUAGGUAAAGUUUUGCAGACAGUUUUGACGUUUCAUCAUUCUGGCUUCAUUUUUCACCUUGAUCCAUAUUAAAUCAAUAGUUGGCCAAAACAGGAAAGUUGUAGUCUUAUAUUUUAGAUUUCUAACGCAUCUAAAAACGCCGUAAUCGGACUCAUGUAGCCUGAGUUAUUAUCAUUUGAACCCAAUGCUGUUAUCCAGCCUGACAGUGAAUUCUGGUUCUGUAAUCUGUAAAUUCAACCUAGAUAAACUGUGAACCGGGUUGAGUUGUCUUCAUGAAAGUUGUAGCUCUUUGUCUUAGCUUCGAAACAGUAUAAAUUUUACCCCAAUUCUAUAAGCGUAGCUUCGGUUGUGACCGAUAUACUAAGAGACAUCAAGCCUGUCAUUUUGUUCUUUACCUUAAACCUUAUUUUCGAUCACUCUUCUAUCUUGGUUUUGUAAUUGAAUGACUUUUAGCCCAUUGAACGGCUAUUGUAAUGAGAUUAUUUGCAUGUGAUUUUGGGGUCUGAUUGAGGAAAAUAAUGAAGCCAUAAAUGGCUGAAAAAUAGGUAAAUACAAAGGGCGUGCUGCCCAAAUUUGCACUCGAGAGCUGGGUAGAUGUGCUCGCGACUUGAGUAAGGGUUGAGGAUGAAACUAACUUGAAUCAUCUAAGGUAUUCAAGUCUUCUUUAUUAGUGGUAUAUAAGUUAGAAUCUGGCCGAAACUUUUACCCUUGGAAAAAUGAAAUUUACGACUAAUAGAAAUACGUUUUGUUCGUUUCUUCGACUCAAAUGGAGAUUUCAAAGUUUUACGAGCGAGCAUAAGUUUUACAAAUAUUUUACUCAUGUCCUUUAGUUUAAAUGUACUCUUUUUACUUCUGAAACUAUACUUAUACUUUGUACUAGUAAUUAUUCGGAUUUUUUUUGAUUCACCUAAACUUUGGAUGGUUUAACUGUAAUAUUUUCUCUUGGUUAUUAUUAGGUUUCCUUGGUGAUUAAGGGUAUUAUCCGGAAGGAAACUUUGGACGUUAUUUUGCUUAAAUAGGUGAGUGUUCUUUGUACGUUAUGUUUCCAAUGACUAUGUCGAUUGUUGUGACUACGUGACUAUUUAUGAAUGUUGGAUUAAAUGUUAAAUGUUUUCAAUGAUUUCUGAAAAUGAAUUUUGCUAGGCGAGUGUGUACUUUAUCGCACUCUACCUAAAUGAAUGUGAAAUUUACAAUAAUUAAAUGAUUAAAUGUUUAAAUACUACUUGUACAUGAAUGUAAGUCUUUUGCCUGAACUGAGCCCUUUCCCUUCGUUACCGGUCGACUCGAGCCAGAAGCGGAUUCGGUCGGGCGAUUGGUGACACUGGGUUAAUGUUUGGUAUACUCGUGUAUGACCAUGAAAUCUGGUGGACGCUGGCCAGUGUCCAGUAGGGGCAAAAUGAAAUGAAUGAAUGAAUGAAUGAAUGGCAAGAACAAUGGAGGGGCUUUCACUUACAAACAAAAUUAUUUUUAAUGCUGGAGGAAUAAGGAAAUGGUUGGUGGAAUGAAUGAACGAAAGGCUCCAUGUGAGCAUGUAACCUUUUAAUGAAUGUAUUAUCAUUACUUUAUAUUGUAAAUGUUUUCUAGAUUACUUGUUAGUACAUGAUUAAUGUUGUUGUUUAAUUAUUUGGCAAUGUGUAUUGAACCUCACUGGGCUUUUAGCUCAUUCCAUUAGUUUUGUUUUCCUCACAGGGAAUGCGAGUGAGGGCGUGAGUCCUGUGCAGACUAGUUUGGUCUAGUUUUUUGAAAUUUUAUUUUUUUUAUUGUUCUCACGCUAGUGCUUGGAUAAGGUUGGAUGUAGUAAAAACUUAAAACUUUUGUUCUAAUUGGGAUUGUAUUUCUAUUUGAGAUGGAUAUAAAUGUAAGUAUAUGUUUCAAGUUUGGGAAUUGUAUUUCCCUUAGUCUCAAGGUUGUAUCUUAUUUCACUUGAUGAGAGCAAUCGAGUCCUGGCGAGAGCUGGGCGGCGAGUCCGCCAAACCCUUUGGUUUGCCUUAGGGGAAGGUGGGGCUGUCUGAACCAAAGGGGUUAGUGGACUGCCUGUCCAAUUCUCGCCAGAACUAUUAAGACAGUUAGAUACAAUCUAAAACGUUCCGGAAGAAAAUAGCGCGCUUAAACCAAUCAAAAAUUGCGAAACGGAAAAACAAAAAUCGGAGCCGCACAUGAAUAGUGCCGGCCACAUCACAAUCCGGCCGAAAUCUGGUCGGAUUUUCGACCGGAUUCUUGGCCGGAUUGGAGGCAGUGACCAACUGCCUGGAUUCAAAAAACCAAGACAAUCCGGCGAAGAUUUGGCCAGAUUUACGGUAGGUUUCCCCUGUGCCCUUUCCCGCCAAAAUUUUUCCUUUUUUCGUUUAAAGUCCGAACCUGUUCGAAAUCCAACCGAUUACCAUCAAAUCAUAUAACCCUUGAAAAUAGACAUUUACAAACCAAAAUAGUACAUGAACACUCCCAAACACUUUUAUAUACAUAUGGUUGCACAUUUACAACUCAAAAGGAAAUGUUGGAUCAAAAUACAAUUAAGGGUUUUCCAACCAUCGAGAAGCUAUACAAAAGAAUAUUAAACUAGUUCAACAUGGCUUCAAAAUUACAGUUCCAAAAGGUGGUCCCUGUAAGGAAAACAAAGGCAACGGAGUGAGCUUUCGCCCAAUAAGGUACCAUCACGCAAAUCAACAAAGUUCACAUAAGCACAAAGUUACUCAAUCCAAAUACGUUCAACAAGUAAGCCGAACUAACACCACAUUUCAACAAAGAUUUUUAAAAGGAUACAGACGGCUCUCAAGAGCUCUUUUCUGCUUUUGCCGUACUUGAUCCCAUCUCAUUGACUCUCUGUCAAUGUAUAAAGAGUAACCAAUACCAUAGAUUCCACUUUUCUCCAAUUUUUGUUCACCUCACAUACCCCUACCGGGCCCAAAUCCAAUCAGUUCAGAAAUGAUAAUACUCGAGUAUACCGGAAUCAAGAGUCUCAUACCCAAUGACUCCACAUAAACAGUCCCCAAGGCUUGUCAAUUUCCUCGACCAUGCCCUUGCUGACUCGAUUCAAUUGACCACCAAAGGGGUUGAGCUCAGAGUUAACAGUAAAGGUCGUUGGAUACACGUCCAAACGACACCAGUUCAAGUAUAUUCAAGAGAAACUCAAUUGAUACAGUAAACAGUCACAUAAGCCAUAGAGUACGAGAGUGAUAAAGUACACCCUCGUCUAAACCAAGAUCAUCAGUAGACACAAGCAUUCCAAUCAUAGAUUUCAAGUAUAACAAAGUCAUGAAGUAACAAUCAUGUGAGUAGUACACUCACCAAUCAAACAAAAGGGAUUUCAUAAAUUUCCGUCCAACGAGCGCCUUGGGUUACCGGUACGCCCUAAAACAUUCAAGAAAACACAUUGAGACUCGAACACGAGUCUUAAACCUAACCACAUACUACUAAUGCAAAAUCAAAAGAACUCGAAGGUAAAAUAAGGAACACUUGGUGUUAAAGGUUUAAACAACUCCAACGUCACUCGUUAAUACUCAAAGCAACCCAAUUCCAAGAAAGUAUAUGGACCUAAAAUUUGGACAGCAUUUUCUCUUAAAAUUUCAGAUUUCCAUCCUAUAAAUAAUCAUUCAUAUUUAACCAACACAACUACAACUACAAGUACAAGUCCUAUGCCAUUCAAUACACCUUAUUAGAGUUACAAUACCCUUUAAAUAAAGCCAAUUCAAGAGUUCCAUAAUAACUCUAGAAAAGCCCCAAUUCAAAACCCUAAAUCUGAAAUUUUUUGCACAAAGCAGAAAUUUUUUGCAAAUAACUACAAUUAACACACCAAAGCUUCACUUUAAACCAUAACCAGCCAUCAUCCAUAGCCAACCAACACUAAUCAUAUAAAAUCAGAAAAAUCAUGAAAAAAUCAGAAAUUCAUCAAUCUCUACUAAAAGUCAUGAAAUCAUCCACAAAAUCACUUCUUUGACUAUCACAAGUCACGAAUUUAACAUUAUGAAGAACAAAGGAAGAAUUUCUUAGCCACUCGCCUUGUAAACUCAAGAAAAGAAGCAACUUAGCAGCUCCUCUUUCCAAACCACUCCAACACCUUCCUUAAUCCUACUUUACAAAUGAUUUUUAUGGAGAAAUUUGGAGUUUUAUCGGUUAGAUCAUAAGAUUGAGCAAGAUUGGGAAGAAGAAAGUUGAAGGUUUUCCUUUCUUUUCUCUCUAUGGAGCUCGGCCAAAUGGAUGAAGAAAGUGGUGAUUUUUUGGUCAAAUUUUGUUAUUUAGUAAAGUUGGGUAAGAUGGUCAAAGUCCAAGAUGGAAUCACAAAGUGACACUUGUCACCUUUUGGUUUAAAACUAUCCUUUUGUCUCUCCAACAUUAUUCCAUUUAGGUAACCACUAAUUACGUCUUAACACCUAAUAAAUUAAUCCCUGUAUACAAAACUUAACCUAUUUGGCCGAAUUUAUCGCACUUAUCGCACUAGCGGGUCUCACGUCCAAUAUACCAUCCUAAAAUCUCAUGACCUAACUUAUACUAGAAUAUGAUUUUAAAACUAUAUUUACUCAUAAAAAUUAUCUAAAAAAACUUCUAAUAAAAAAAAUAUAUAAAACGCGUGCAAAUAAAUAAAAUAAAACCUAGAAAAUAAGAAAAUUUUCGGGUUCUAACACUCUCUUCCCCUUAAAAGAAUUUCAUCCUCGAAAUUUCUCACAUUGAUUCACAAAUAGUUCAGGUAUUUCUUUUGCAUUUCUUCUUCCACCUCCCAGGUAGCCUCUUCUAUCCCAUGAUUUCUCCACAAGAUCUUCACCAAAGGGAUUUGUUUGUUUCUCAGCUCCUUAACCUUUCAGUCAAGCAACUGUACAGGUUUCUCUUCAUAGGUGUGUGAUUCAUCUAUCUCAAUUUUCUCCGAUUGUAAGAUAUGAGAUGGGUCAGGAUGGUACUUCUUAAACAUCGAGACGUGGAAGACGUCGUGAAUCUUGAACAGACUUGAUGGGAGUUCAAGUCGAUACGCUACUUUCCCAAUUUUCUGGAGAAUUUUGAAAGGUCCGACGAACCUCGGUUGAAGUUUCUUUCCUUUACCCGUCGUGAUGCUUCGUAACAGUGUGACCUUAAGAAAACACGGUCCCCAACUUUGAACUCCAAAUCUUUCAUUCGAUUGUCCGCGUAGCUCUUUUGUCGGUUUUGAGUUGUUUGGAAUCUUUGUUGUAUCAACCAGACUUUUUCUCAUGUAUCCUCCAUCCAUGGAAUAGUCGUCGGAUCUAGAACCUUUCUUUCGCCGACUUCAUCCCAAUAGAUCGGUGAUCGGCACUUCCUCCCGUAAAGCGCUUCAUAUGGUGCCAUUUGAAUUGACGAGUAGUAACUAUUAUUGUAAGCAAACUCUACUAAGAUCAUAUGUUGACCCCAGUUGCCUCCCAAAUCUAGAAUACAGGUUCUUAACAUAUCCUCGAGAGUUUGAAUUGUUCACUCCGACUGUCCAUCCGUCUGGGGAUUUUAAGUGGUACUAAGGUUGAGUUUAGUCCCUAAAGUCUCUUGAAUUUUUUGCCAAAAUCUAGAUACGAAACGGGGAUCUCUAUCCGAAACGAUGCUCACAGGAACUCCAUGUAGUCUUAUAAUCUCAUCCAUAUACACCUGAGUUAAUUUAUCUAUAGAAUACUUCAUGUUUACCAGCAAGAAAUGGGCCGAUUUGGUUAACCGAUCGACGAUCACCCAAACGGCAUCAUGUCCUCAUUACGUUCGCGGCAAACCUGAAACGAAAUCAAUCGUAAUAUUUUCUCACUUACAUUUGGGUAUCUCAAGAGGUUGUAACAAUCCAGAUGGUUUUUGAUGUUCCGCCUUAACUUGUUGACAGAUGAGACACGUUUGCACGUAUUGAGCAAUUUUUUUUUCAUGUUGUCUCACCAAUAGGCUCCUUUUAGGUCCUGGUACAUUUUUCUACUACCCGGAUGGAUCGUAUACUUGGACCGAUGAGUUUUCUCUAAGAUCUCCUUCUUUAACAUUUCAUCUUUGGGCACCACUACUCGGUUUCGAUAUUUCAAAACUCCAUCGGGACUGAAGUUGAAAUCUGUCAAUUCCCCCUUUUCUACUUUCUCUUCCCACUUCCGUACCAUAAAAUCUUCCUUCUGGGUUUCUUUAAUCCGCUCCAGUAAAGUGAACGUUACUUUAAUAUUACCAAAAAUCACCUUAUGACUUCCAAGACAGGGUUUCCACUCACAAACCGAUUCUAACAGAUCCUACUCCUUAAUCAUUAACCCCGCUACUUGAGUCUUUCGAUUUAAGGCAUCGACCACCACGUUAGUGUUUUCCGGAUGGUAGUUAAUGGUGCAGUCGUAGUCCUCCAGAAAUUCCAUCCACCGUCGUUGCCUCAUAUUCAAUUCCUUCUAUUAGAAGAGAUAUCUAAGACUCUUAUGGUCUGAGUAGAUCUCGAAAGUUACCCCAAAUAGAUAGUGUCUCCACUUUUUCAAAGCAAAAAUAACUGCGGCUAACUCCAGGUCGUGGGUUGGGUAGUUCUUCUCGUGGGAUUUCAAUUUUCUAGAGGCAAAAGAUAUCACAUUCUGGUUUUGCAUCAGCACACACCCUAGACCUUCUCGCGAGGCGUCGAUAUAAACGGUAAAACCAUCUAAUCCGUUCGGUAAAUCUAGAAUUGGUGCCAUGGUUAAUCUUUUCUUUAGCUCUCAAAAGCUAGCUUCACACCUAGCAUCUCACAUAAAAUGACCAUUUUUCUUCGUCAGAUCGGUUAAAGGAUCGGCAAGUUUGGAAAAGUCUUUAAUAAAAUGCCUAUAGUACUCAGCCAACCCUAGAAAACUAUGAAUCUCAUGGGAUUUUCUGGCCUCUUCCAAUCAGUCAUGGCCUCUACUUUCGCCAGAUCAACCGAGAUGCCCUCUUGGGAAAUUACAUGCCCUAAGAAAGAAAUUUUCUCCAGCCAAAACUCACACUUACUAAACUUGGCGUACAACUGAUGCUCUCUUAGAGUUUGCAAAAUGAUUCUUAAGUGCUGCUCAUGCUCCUUACGGGUCUUUAAGCAGACCAGGAUGUCAUCAAUAAAUACAACUACAAAUCGAUCCAAAUAGAGUUUAAAAACCUUAUGCAUCAGAUCCAUGAAGGCAGCAGGGGCAUUGGUAAGUCCAAAAGCCAUGACUGUGAAUUCAUAGUGCCCAUACCUUGAAUUGAAAGCAGUUUUUAGUAUAUCCUCAUUCCUAAUUAACAAUUGAUAAUACCCCUGUCGGAGGUCUAAUUUUGAAAAUACCAUUGCUCCGUGCAACUGGUCGAACAACUCAUCAAUAUAGGGCAGUGGAUAUUUAUUUUUAUUCGUUACAUUAUUCAGCCCCCGGUAGUCUAUACACAUCCGCAGACUCCCAUCCUUUUUCUUCACAAACAACACAGGGGCUCCCCAAGGAGACCCACUCUCUCAAAUGAACCCCCACUCCAAAAGAUCUUGAAACUGUAAUUUCAACUCCUUAAACUCAGCAAGUGCCAUCCGAUACGGGUUUUAGAGAUAAGUGACGCCCCUGGUAAUAGAUCAAUUUUAAAUUCUAUCUCUCUUUCUGGAGGUAGGGUUACUAAUUCAUCAGGAAAUAUGCCUGUAUAUUCUUUCACUACGUGCAUAUCCUCUACUUUCAGUUUAUCUGUGAGGGUAUUGAUUAGAAAGGCUAAGAACUUUUGCGGCCCUCUACUAAGUAAUUUCUUAACCCGAAUACCCGAGAUCAAGGCAGACGAGACUAACCUACCCCUUAUAUCUUACCUUAAAGUCGCCUCUCUAGGAAUGCGGAAUUCUAACACCUUCUUCUUAUAAUCAAGUUGAGCGUUAUACCUGGCUAACUAGUCCAUGCCCAAAAUUACAUCAUACCCCUUAAUGGACGGGCUUAUCAAAUCCCCUAACAAUUUCCUUUCUUUUACCCAAACUUCAUAAUCCUUAUAAACCAUACUAGUGAUCAAACGCUGAUUCCCCAUAGGAGUACUAACUUCCAGGUCAUAGGGUAAACUAGCAGGUUUUAUAUCUAUUCCACACAUAAAAUUGGGGUUGACAAAUGAAUGAGUAGCACCGGGAUCUACUAGAACUUUCGUAAAUCGGUGGAAUACAGAAAUCGUACCCUUCACAAUUUCGAAAGAAUCGGGGACCUGUUGUGACUCCAGUGAAUACACUCGAGCCGCUACCUUAGGUUUAGUUCUUUCCACCUUAGCCGGUUCGGAAUUGGUUCUCGUCGAUUGUUGGCUCCCCUUUUCAUCUCGUGAUAGAAUCGGACAAGUGGCAAGCUAGUGGUCUGCACUUCCGCAACGCAAACAUUUUCUCUUCUUCUUCCAGCAAUUGUUCUCCGUGUGGUUUGGCUUUCCGUAAUACCCGCAGGGUCCACGAGAUGCAGAAGCCGAGCCUCUUUGGAAACCUCCUCUUUGACCUCUCCCAACUUGGCCACCCCUUGACGGGGCCCCUCGAGACGUUCCCGGUAUCCUUCCUCCUCCAGUCCCCCAUCCAAACUUGUGAGGGUUACUCUUAUCCCCCUGUCCCAAACAGCUUCCAGGGAAUCCUCGCUUCUUUGUCUGGAAGUUUCUUACUUGUAACCUGGCAUUUUUCACUCAUUGAGCCUUCUCCACUGCAUCACUGAAGGCGUUAAUCUGGGCUACAACUAGAUCCUUCUGGAUCUCCACGUUUAGACCUUGGACAAAGCGCCUUAUUCUUCGUUGUUCGGUCAUGAUAAAUUUGGGUGCAAAUUUAGACAGUCGAAUGAAUUGGCUCUCGUACUCGGCUACCGUCUGAGUCCCCUGGUGAAACGGGAUAAACUCGUCUUCCUUCCAUUCUUGAACCAGAGGAGGAAAGAAUUUUGCGUUGAACUCCCUCAUGAAAUUCACCCAUGUCCUGGGCGUUUACUCUCGGUCCCAUUUCUGUCGUAUUACAUUCCACCAGGAACAGGUUGCUCCUUCCAGUUGGAAGACAGCAAAAGUCACCUGCCUUUCCUUCGUGUAGUGCAGGGCAGUAAAGAUGUCUACCAUCUUUUCUAGCCAUCUUUCGGCUACAUCCGGAUCGGGUCCUCCAAUAAAUUUCGGUAGGAAAAACUUCUGAAACCUUUCGAGGGCCCUGUCCUUGCUUUCCAGGUGAUUACCAGGAUUUUCAGGGUUGAAAUUAGGGUUUUGACCCUGUUGCCCCACCACAUGGGCUAACAAGUCGGUCAUGCGUUGAAUGGCUGCGGCCACUUACACGUUCGGAUUGACCUAGGUUCAGGGUUUGGUUCAAACGUGGUUCCUCUAGUACCCCCUUCAGUUUUAGGUUGCCUAAUUCUGCGACCACGACCACAUCCACUACGGGUACCUUUCAUGAAAUUUAGUCGAUCUAGGGUCAAACGUAAUCGUAAUGUUAAAGAUAAAGGUAAACGUAAGUAAGGAGCCAAAAGAUAUUCACAAUCAAAACAUAUAUACAUAUCACACAACAGUGUCAAACAAGUCACACAUAGCAGUCAGUCGGAUACAAACAAAGAAAUUCCAUGAAAUAACGGCGUCAUCAAAAGAUAUAUGUACAAAGCUAGUCUAAACAUACAAAAAUGGCUAGCUAAGGUUCUUUCCCUGAUCUACUAUCCCCAUGGAAUCAAAAGUAGUUCAAAAGAGUGGUUCCGGCAACAGUUACAACGACGAGCCCGACUAGUGGUAUACCAAAGCCGGAUCGGACCUCCAAACUUUUCUUGAUAAUCAAUAAUGCGAGCCCGCCUCUGAGGCGGUUCACCCCCGCCCUCUUCACUUGUUCUAGUCAUGGCCUACAAGAAUAGCAAAAGUGUUCAUAUCUUAGACAACGUAAUCACAUUUAAUGGCACCUCAACACAUUCCUCACAGGUCCUAAGGAACAAAAUUCAAACUUGCCUAGGUCAUUUCUAACCUGGCUUUGAUACGACCUGUGACAGCCCCACCUUUCCCUAAGGCGUACCAAAGGGGUUAGAGAACUGCCUGCCCAACUCUCGUCAGGACUACUAAGACAGUUAGAUACAAUCUAAAACGUUUCGAAAGAUAAUAGUGCGCUUAAACCAAUCAAAAAUCGGGAAACGAAAAAAUGAAAAUCGGAGUAGCACAUGAAUAGUGCCGGCCACGUCACAAUCCGGCCGGAAUCUAGCCGGAUUCUUGGCCGGAUUGGAGGCGGUAACCAACUACCCGGAUUCAAAAAACCAAGACAAUCCGCCUAGCAAUCCGGCCAAAAUUUGGCCGGAUUUGCAACCGGAUUCCCCUGUGUCAUUUCCCACCAAAAUUUUUCCUUUUUUCGUUCAAAGUCCAAACCUGUUCGAAACCCAACCGAUUUCCAUCAAAUCAUAUAACCCUUGAAAAUAGACAUUUACAAACCAAAAUAGCACAUGAACACUCCCAAACACUUUUAUAUACAUAUGGUUUCACAUUUACAACUCAAAAGGAAAUGUUGGAUCAAAAUACAAUUAAGGGUUUUCCAACCAUCGAGGAGCUGUACAAAAUAAUAUUAAACUAGCUCAACUCGGCUUCAAAAUCACAGUUCCAAAAAGUGGUUCCCUGUAAGGAAAACAAAGGCAACGGAGUGAGCUUUCGCCCAAUAAGGUACCAUCAUGCAAAUCAACAAAGUUCACAUAAGUACAAAGUUACUCAAUCCAAAUACGUUCAACAAGUAAGCCGAACUAACAUCACAUUUCAACAAAGAUUUUUAAAAGGAUACGGACGGCUCUCAAGAGCUCUUUUCCACUUUUACCGUACUUGAUCCCACCUCAUUGAUUCUCUGUCAAUGUAUAAAGAGUAACCAAUACCAUAGAUUUCACUUUUCUCCAAUUUCCGUUCACCUCACAUACCCCUACCGGGCCCGAAUUCCAAUUAGUUCAGAAAUGAUAAUACUCGAGUAUACCGGAAUCAAGAGUCUCAUACCCAAUGACUCCACAUAAACAGUCCCCAUGGCUUGUCAAUUUCCUCGACCAUGCCCUUGCUGACUCAAUUCAAUUGACCACCAAAGGGGUUGAGCUCAGAGUUAACAGUAAAGGUCGUUGGAUACACGUCCAAACGACACCAGUUCAAGUAUAUUCAAGAGAAACUCAAUUGAUACAGUAAACAGUCACAUAAGCCAUAGAGUACGAGAGUGAUAAAGUACACCCUCGUCUAAACCAAGAUCAUCAGUAGACACAAGCAUUCCAAUCAUAGAUUUCAAGUAUAACAAAGUCAUGAAGUAACAAUCAUGUGAGUAGUACACUCACCAAUCAAACAAAAGGGAUUUCAUAAAUUUCCGUCCAACGAGCGCCUUGGGUUACCGGUACGCCCUAAAACAUUCAAGAAAACACAUUGAGACUCGAACACGAGUCUUAAACCUAACCACAUACUACUAAUGCAAAAUCAAAAGAACUCGAAGGUAAAAUAAGGAACACUUGGUGUUAAAGGUUUAAACAACUCCAACGUCACUCGUUAAUACUCAAAGCAACCCAAUUCCAAGAAAGUAUAUGGACCUAAAAUUUGGACAGCAUUUUCUCUUAAAAUUUCAGAUUUCCAUCCUAUAAAUAAUCAUUCAUAUUUAACCAACACAACUACAACUACAAGUACAAGUCCUAUGCCAUUCAAUACACCUUAUUAGAGUUACAAUACCCUUUAAAUAAAGCCAAUUCAAGAGUUCCAUAAUAACUCUAGAAAAGCCCCAAUUCAAAACCCUAAAUCUGAAAUUUUUUGCACAAAGCAGAAAUUUUUUGCAAAUAACUACAAUUAACACACCAAAGCUUCACUUUAAACCAUAACCAGCCAUCAUCCAUAGCCAACCAACACUAAUCAUAUAAAAUCAGAAAAAUCAUGAAAAAAUCAGAAAUUCAUCAAUCUCUACUAAAAGUCAUGAAAUCAUCCACAAAAUCACUUCUUUGACUAUCACAAGUCACGAAUUUAACAUUAUGAAGAACAAAGGAAGAAUUUCUUAGCCACUCGCCUUGUAAACUCAAGAAAAGAAGCAACUUAGCAGCUCCUCUUUCCAAACCACUCCAACACCUUCCUUAAUCCUACUUUACAAAUGAUUUUUAUGGAGAAAUUUGGAGUUUUAUCGGUUAGAUCAUAAGAUUGAGCAAGAUUGGGAAGAAGAAAGUUGAAGGUUUUCCUUUCUUUUCUCUCUAUGGAGCUCGGCCAAAUGGAUGAAGAAAGUGAUGAUUUUUUGGUCAAAUUUUGUUAUUUAGUAAAGUUGGGUAAGAUGGUCAAAGUCCAAGAUGGAAUCACAACGUGACACUUGUCACCUUUUUGGUUUAAAACUAUCCUUUUGUCUCUCCAACAUUAUUCCAUUUAGAUAACCACUAAUUACCUCUUAACACCUAGUAAAUUAAUCCCUGUAUACAAAACUUAACCUAUUUGGCCGAAUUUGUUGCACUUAUCGUACUAGCGAGUCCCGCGUCCAAUAUACCCUCCUAAAAUCUCAUGAGCUAACUUAUACUAGAAAAUGAUUUUUAAACUAUAUUUACUCAUAAAAAUUAUCUAAAAAAACUUCUAAUAAAGAAAAUAUAUAAAACGCGUGCAAAUAAAUAAAAUAAAGCCUAGAAAAUAAGAAAAUUUUCGGAUUCUCACACUGUCACAUGUGGUAUCAGAGCCACUUCGUGUGGUCUCUGUGCGAAGUGAGUUUGGGUCAAGUGGUGUUAUGGUCCUGAUUUCGUGAAUAAGUAUGAAGGAUUAAGUGCUCUUUUGAGCAUAAGUUAUGAAUCAUGAAUUGUUAUAGGUCUUAAAUCUCUCUCAUGGUACUUGAAGACAAUAGAUAAGUACGUCAAGUAGGAAUCUCGAUUGUAGAUAAUUUACUCUUGGGACUGGCCAACUCGAGUGGUGAAUUAUCUCGGAUUCUUGUACCUAAGUAAGCGAGAGUUGAGGGCAAUACUAAGGACUUGCAAUCUUUAUUGCGGGGAACAAGAAUGGGAAAUGUUUGGUGAGAGUAAGUGUUAGGAGUUAACGGAUGUCUAGUUCGUAUGGUAAGAGAAGUGACAAAUGGGACGGGGAAUAUUUUAACCGAGUGUGGAACGGUAUGCCGUAUUUUCUUUUGUUUUGCCUCUAUAUUGUUACCGUAUGUAUUUGGUUUGUUGCAUGUUAAUACUUACGUGUAUAGUAUUUGCCGUACUUGAUUUUAUUUUUGUUCAACUUGAUAUAUAGUUUUGUGAAUUUGGUGUGUUAUAUCUUGUUGUUUUAGUCAAUUUACUUUGUUACAUACUAAAUCACCUUUUGAAAAAAAAAAGAGAGAGAAAAAGGGUAUGAAGGGGAGACGUGGUCGCCGACGUAGAGCUAGUCGGGGCCGUGGGGCUAGGCAAGCUCAAGAACCAAGAAAUGAAAGAGAAACAAUAGCUGAGCAAGAUCGUGGGCCGAGGGUUGAGGCAAGAGACCAAGUAGCGACAGCGAUCCAACAAAUGACAAAUAUCCUAGCGCGAUUGGUAGAUCAACAAAGUCAAAUGCCAGUGAAUCAACCCCAGAAUUCCGAGAUAGGAAAGGAUAGGGCUCUAGAGCGGUUUCAAAAAUUUGUACCUCCUAAAUUCCAUAGAGGGCCUGAUCCAGAUGUAGCUGAAUAGUGGUUAGAGGCAAUGAUUAACAUCUUCGCAGCAUUGAACUACACGGAGCAAAGACAGGUGAACUUUACUGUAUUCCAAUUCGAAGAACCAGCCCGAGCAUGGUGGAAUGUUAUUAGGGCAAAGUGGGAGAGAGAACAAACUGCAUGGACAUGGGUGAACUUUAUAAGGGAAUUUAAUGAGAAGUACCUCCCACUUUUGGUCCAAGAAAAGAAAGAUGAUGAGUUUAUUGGAUUGCGUCAAGGAACCCAAAGUGUGGCCGAAUAUGAUACUAAAUUUAUUAAACUGUCUAAGUUCGCUUCCGAAUUAGUGGUUACAAAGCGAAUGAGAGUAAGAUGGUUCAUACAAGGCUUGAAUUUGGAAAUCCAGGAAGCUUUAGAGGCGGUUCAAGUUAAUACUUUUACGGAAACUCUCGAGAAAGCGUAAAGAAUUGAGGAUGCGAAAGCACAAGUAAAAGCUUUUCAAACGCGAAAAAGAGGUGCAUCUAGUAGCAUACCUGAGGAACCUGAAGAAAAGAUAACGCCCUCCAAAGUGUAAAAAGUGAACCAUUUACCUCAUCCACCAUGAACCAUCUACAUAAGAAAGUCAAAGAGGACAAGAGGGGAUUUCUCGAGAAGGCCAAACAGUGGCAUCCCACGUGGCCUGUGGAUACUGUGGGAAGGCAAAUCACACUGAGAAUGAUUACUGGAGGAAAGGGCGAAGGUGUUUGAUUUGUGGAAGUGGCAAUCAUCAAAUUAGCAAUUGUCCAAAGAAACAGCCCCGAGAGAAUAAUGCCUAACAAGUGAAUGGAACCAAAUCGAAACAAGUGAAUGAAAGAGGGAACCGAACAAAAGUACCAGCAAAGAUAUAUGCCUUAGACAAACAACAAGCGCCGGAGUCGUCUGAGGCAACGGAAGGUAUGAAUUUCGAGGUCGAAAUUCUCUUAAGGAUGAGAGAGUGUGAGGACUUGAAAAAUCCCUUAUAUUUUUCUUAAAAAUUCCCUUUAAUUUGGAAUUUAUUACUUUAUAGUAGCUUUACUACACAUUCACUUUCCCAAUAGCUACAAAUAAUCAUAGAAAUAAGGAUUUCCUUUUUACUUUCAUCGUUACAAUAAACUAGGAUUUUUACGUCUUUUCGUAAUAUGAGAAUCGGUACGGAGUGUGUAUUAAAUUUAGUGAUUAAGAGAGAGUUUUAGAUGAUAUUACAUGUGUGAUUAGUAGUAAUAAUAAUAAGUUAGUGAAUUAUAAGUGAAAACCCUAGUACGUUCGAUUUACGGAAAACCGGUGUGAACCGACGUGUACCGUUGACUAUCAAUUGAACACACCACUUGACCACCACUUUCUUAACUUGAUCGCAUUGUUAUUAGUGCAUAAUAUCACCCUCUCAUCAGAUCAUUAUGGCCGAAAAUGUUGACCAUUAAAACCAAGGAAAAGAAGAAAAUUCAAGAUCAAAUUUUGUGAUGACAAGUGGAAGCAAUCCAACCAUCUUUGACCUAAUCUAAGACCAAGCUUCUUAACCUUUCUUGGACUUCAUUCUUCUUUAUUUUGCAGCUAUGAUGGCUGAACCUUGAGAACAAAAAAGAGAGAAGAGAGCUUCAAUUUCAUCUUAAGUUUUUGCUCAGUUUGAGUGAGAAUCAAGAAUCGAAACUGAUUAAUCUCUUAGUUGAGCACUUGGAAAGCUUGGGGUGCUAAGAGUUUAGCAAGGAGAGGUGGUGGAUUUAUUUUGCAAGCAUUUUAGUGAGGUAUCAUGGCUGUCCAUCUCAUUCCUUCCCCUUAAUCUUGCUUAAGUUUAUGUAGCAACUUGUAUUCUUGUCUUACGAUUGCUAUUUAAGUAAUUUUGAUGAUUAUGGUGGAUUUGUGAGUUAGGGUUUUGAAUUGGUUAGUUGUAUUUUUUAUUAUUUAGAUAGAAUAUGAUGUGAAUAAGCUUAGAUAGGGAGUGGUAGUAGUGGUUUUAUACAUGAAUAAGAAGAUUAUCACUUGAAUGCAUUAAUUCCAGCUUUAAAUUUUUGUACUACCCUGUUCUGACCAGUUUCAUUCGGUCAUGAUGGAGGCAGAAUUGGGCUUAGAUUAAAACAUAAAAGUUGUAGGAAAUGAUGUUUUAUUACUUCCUGUAAAAUUUCAUCUCAAUCCGAGCUUUGUAUCACAUGAAAUGCCAAAAAUACCCUUGACUGCCAUAGGUAAAGUUUUACAGACAGUUUUGACAUUUCAUCAUUCUGGCUUCAUUUUUCACCUUGAUCCAUGUUAAAUCAGCAGUUGGACAAAACAGGAAAGUUGUAUUCUUAUGUUUUAGCUUUCCAACACAUCUGAAAACUCCUCAAUCGGACUUGUGUAGUCCGAGUUAUUGUCAUUUGAACCCAGUGCUGUUAUCCAGCCUGACAGUGAAAUUCUGGUUCUGUAAUCUGUAAAUUCGACCUGGAUAAACUAUGACCCGGGCUGAGUUGUCUUCAUGAAAGUUAUAGCCCUUUAUCUUAGCUUCGAAAUGGUAUAAAUUGUACCCCAAUCCUAUAAGCGUAGCUUCGGUUGUGACCGAUACGCUAAGAGACAUCAAACCUGUCAUUUUGUUCUUUACCUUAAACCUUAUUUCCGGUCACUUUUCCAGCUUGGUUUUGUAAUGGAAUGACUUUUAGCCUAUUGAAUGGCUAUUGUAAUGAGAUUAUUUGUGUGUGAUUUUGGGGGCUGAUUGAGGAAAAUAAUGAAGCCAUAAAUGGCUAGAAAAUAGGUAAAUACAAAGGGCGUGCUGUCCAAAUUUGCUCUCAAGGGCUAGGUAGAUAUACUCACGACUUGAGUAAGGGUUGAGGAUGAAACUAACUUGAAUCAUCUAAGGUAUUCAAGUCUUCUUUAUUAGAGGUAUAUAAGUUAGAAUCUAGUUGAAACUUGUACCCUUAGAAAAAUGAAAUUUACGACUAAUAGUAAUACGUUUUCUUCGUUUUUUCGACUCAAAUAGAGAUUUCAAAGUUUUACGAGCGAGCAUAAGUUUUACAAAUAUUUUACUCAUGUCUUUUGGUUUAAAUGUACUCUUUUCACUUCCAAACCAAAAUUAACUAAUAAAAUGUACUUAAAAAUGCGUAAAAUAAACUCUUAUCAAGUAGCUCCAGAAAAGAAAUCAUGCACCGCCACCAUAAAUCCAUUUUAAUAAUUUCCCAACAAUGCUGAAAAAAUACAGUCGAGUAUCCAUCUGGCCCUGCCGCAUUUUCUUUGUGGAUACUAAACACUGCUUGUCGAACCUCAGCCUCUGUCGGCAUUUCGUCCAACAUCUCCACAUCAUCUUGGGAGAGCUUGGGUAGCUGAAAUUGAAGACCAUCCAAACAUUUUACCCCAGACGAAUAACUAAAGAGCUCCUAAAAAAAUUCCACAGUCGAGUCUUGUAUUGUCGAGGGUGAUUCUACACAACCAUCAUUAUUAUCUUUAAUUCUAGCUAUGUAAUUCGUAUUCCUCCUCUCCCGAACCAGCGCAUAGAAAUAAGCCAUGUUUGCCUCCCCUUGUUUCAACCACUUAAUUGCCGUCUUUGUCUCCAGAAGUCAUUCUCUAUGGCUAAUAAUCUAGCAUGCCUGGCUCUAGCUUCACUUAGUUGAGACCUAUACACAUCUCCGCCUUGCUGAUCAUAUAUUGUUUGUAUCCACUGCAUUUCAUCUUGAGCCUCUUGAAUGUUCCAUUGGAUAUUGCCAAAGGCUUGGAGGUUCCAAGAUCUCAGCUUUCUAUUAAGUGCUACCAACUUUUGACAAAAUGCCUCCAUGCCCCGACCUCUUACAGGCUGAUCCCAUGACUCCCUUACUACUGACAAAAAAUUCCUAUGCGAAAUCCACACAUUCUGAAAACGGAAUGAACCAUGUCCCACCAUGCUGCCUUUAGAUUUCACUAACAAGGGGAGUGGUCCGAGCGCCCUCUCGACAAAUAAGUUGAGUGAACAGAAGCAUACAUACUAGCCCAAUCCGAAUUAAUAAAUAUGCGAUCUAGCCACUGUCAUACAUAACCAUUUUUCCAGGAGAAUAGGGACCCAUCAAAUUCAACUAUCGACACCCCUGUCUAGGCCAUACAAUUAUUGAAUUCUUCCACAUCCCCUACCUUGGAAGCCACCCUCCCCUCUUCUCCGAAGCUGUUAAAAUCACAUUAAAUUCCCCACCUAACACCCAUGGAACCUGUCACGCCCCGAGCCCGCAUGUGCCCAUCACGUAGCAUUCGCCGUAUUCUCAAAUCCCGCUCAAGAAUACAAGGCAUCAUUUAACUAGUCUAAACUUCAAAAAUACGAAAUAAUAUAACUAAAAUAAAGUGCGGUACAAAUCUCAUAAAAAGGUAGUCUACGAAUAUCCCAUAUGUUUGUACAUUUAUUUUCUAAUGGAAAUAGCGGAAUCAAAAAUAAAUAAGACUAACAACUAGAAGUAGCUAGCCUGCCAACUUCUAUUCACUUAAAGCUAAUAAAAGUCAUCCUCAUGGUCUUCUACGUAAACCAAUUCAUAAUCUUCAGAAUCUGCAAGGAUGGUAAAAAGGAGGUUGACCGAGAAAUCGCCCAGUAGGUAAUAACUACCCCUCUGUCGGACCAUGUACUCGUAACUUUACAGAUACAUAUAUAUAGAUAUAAAUCAAAUCAUUUGCACAUCGAUCACAUCCGUAAUUUGAAAGUAACGUCAUUUAUAAAACGACUAGUAGUAACAAUUGGCAAGUAAUUUAAAAGCACCUUAUUGAUAAAUGAACAUGGAAAAUCAUAACGUUGUAAAUCAUUUCGUCUCAAUUCACAAGUCUCUUCACAUCCACUCAUAAAUCAGUUCACAAGUCUCAUUCAGAUCAGUUCAUAAAUCAUUCCAUAUCACCUCAUAAAUCAUUUAAUCUUAGCUCAUAACAAGUACAUGUGAUGACCGGCUACUAAGUACUCAGUCUAGAGAUUAAACCCCUUCUAGGUGAGCGACCAAUAGGUUUCAUGACUAUCGAUUGGCCUCUUUUCAUACAUGGGACAAUCGGCCGGACUUUAUACUAGACUACCAUGACCUUGCCAAUCGGCCGGACUUUAUACCAGGCUACCACGGCUUUGUUAAUCGGCCGGACUCUAUACCAGGCUACCAUGACCUUCUCAAUCGGCCGGACUUUAUACCAGACUAAUAUGACGAUUAGACAGGACUAUAGCUCCUACCGUCUAUUCCAUGACUGUUUUGAGCUUUACUUGUCAAAAAUUCAUUCCACACGUCACAUACAUAAAUCUUUGAUUUCAUAAAAGAUUCAAUUCGUUUGGUAUAUAAUAACAUAUCAAAACAUUUCAAAUAAGUCACAUGGUCCAUUUUUGUAUAAUAAAAAUAUAACUUUCAUAAAUAUCCAAGUAAAGCAUUUAAUCAAAUAUAUUUCGAGUCAACACAACAAAAUAAGAUUGAAAACAAAAAUUUCAUUUUUGCACCUUUGAAAUCUUAGAAGGGUAAGUAUCACCUACCUUCGUCUGGCUGCUCGAGUGGAACUACCGUAAGUCUCUUAAGCUGGUACCGUACCUAUCAAAUGCAUAGGCUUCCUAAUUAAUUGUUAUUUCCUAUAAAUACAUAACAUAUAAACUCUGAGUAAGUCGAAGAUUCGUGUCUAGACCAUUGUAUGAAUCCUAACAGCAUUUUCCCUAAAUUGGACGAUUUCCAUUUUGGAAAGUUUCCUAAUUUGGAAAGUUCGCCUUUUUGUAAAGUCUUAUCAUCUAAAAGAAAAUAAUUAUUCCCAAUCAUGUUUAUUAUCUUGACUAUUAUCUUAUUAUACAUAUUUAUAAUUUAUAAUUAUUCAUUAGUAUUGUUAUCGUUAUUAUUAGUGUUAUCGUCCACAUUAUUAUUUACUACUAGGAUUAUUAUCAUUAGUGUUAUUAUUAGUAUUAUUAUCAGCAUUAUUAUUAUUAUUAUUAUUAUUUUAAACAUUUCGUUUAACCAUUUAAAACUUAUCUUACCUUGUCCAAUCUGGCUUAAUACGGCUAAGUGUUUUUAGAUUUCCAUUUAAGUAUCUUAGACGUAAUUAACUAAGCACAAUUUUACAUGACUAACCUUUCAAUUCUAACAAUUAUUUUAAAUUGGGUCCUGAAUUUUAAUACCCACGAUAAACUAUAAUUUAUAAUUUUAAAGUUUAUUUAUUAGACAUUUAUUACAUUUUAUAUUAUAUUUUGGUCCCUGUAUAAUUUGCCAAAUUUCCUCCGCCCUCGGGUUAAACCCAAGGCCAACCAGUUGCCUGACCAUGUCUGGCGACCCUUUGCUUCCAUUGGUUGGCCAAAAAGGCCAACCAUGGCCUUUAUUCAUUGUCGCCAGCAAGUGCUGGUGACAUCCUCUUCAAAUUUUUUUUUUUUUCUUUGCUUCGGUCUUUCGGCCAACCUUUGCAAAUUCUUUCUCUGCCGCCAGAGAUGGCGGCCCCCACUCUUCCCUUUUUGUGUGUGUGGCGUUGCAGAAGCAAUGUCUAGCCAAACAGAGCAGCGGCUUUUUCCCUUUUUUUUUUUUUGUUUUUCCUCCAUCAGAUUUGGGCAACCUAUUUACUCACAGAUUCAAAUCUAACACCCCAUUCCUACGGAUCCACAUAUGAAUCUUCCUAAAAAAUAUACAUAUCUACAUAUAUACAGCAACAAUCCAUAUUCGUAAAAUUCCUAGGACAAUUAAUUCAACUAUUAAAACUUAAAAGAGAAAUUUUGCGUGAAUUCGGGACUUACAGGUUUAGAUGUGUAGUUGUCUGAUCGAUUGACAAUGUCGUCUGCUUCUCCUUCUCUAUUCUUUGAUGGCUCUUGCUCUAGGGAGGCAGACGAAAGAAAGGCAAGGAUGGUGUUAUUUUUCUUUCUAGGGUUUCAAUAAAAUCUUAAACCCUAGUACUACCUACUAGUAGGUGGUUUGGGUAAGAGUUUCAGUUUAUUAGAAACCCCUAUCCCAUCCUACAGUUAUUUUAUUUUAAAAUUUUUUCUUCCUUUUACCUAGUAAUUUUAUCUUUUUAAUUAAUUGAAAAAAUAAAAUAAAAUAAUAAAAUGGGUGCCAAAAAUCGUGGGUUUUACAGAACCCCCAUAGAAGCGGCCAAAGUAGAGAUUUCAUCCCAUAGAGGUCGCCUCCCCACCCGAGUAUGUUUGGCAUAGAGUGCAGAAAAGUCACUUCCAAUGAAGAAGGCAACCCAAUUUGCGCAUGCACCAACUGGUUGGCCAAAAUGGAAAAAGAGCAGGUCAUAAAAUUCUUCCAAAAGAACCAGAUACGUCCCUCCAAGAAUGAAGUAGCCUGGUCAAACUUGAACUUUAAUCUAAAACUAUCUAAUUGAGAUGCCGAAAUAAUAGGCUCAAUUAACACCAAAAGAUGAACAUCAUUGCUACUAAAUAUAUUCAUUAAAUAUCUCGAAGAGUUUGGUUGAGAUACUCCCCGAAUAUUCCACACUAAGACGUUUAACGGAAACGACAUUAAUCCACUGUAACAAAAGAAGCUUUUGAGACAGGGCGUACCUCAUCUUUCAUUGGACCAAGCUCUAUUAGCUGGUCCGUUUAUUAGCUUAAAACCCAAACCAAACAACGACUCACUAAUGACUAACUAAGCGAGACUAUAAGCUCCACACAUUCGGUGAAACUUGAGCUGGAAAUUUCGGCCUUGAAUCUCUUUCUUCCAAACGACUUGACAACCCAUUGAGUGAGGAAUUAGUGAAGAAAUAGCUCCACACUUGGGACUCCUUGCUCACUUCAUCACUCAUAUCUGAAAGUUACAUAACGCUUUACACUCCUGAAUGGUUUACUUGUGAGAAAAUUUGUUGUGCUUUUGUGAUGGUAGGUGGCUUGAGAUUUAGAUUUCUUUUGCAUGAGAUUGAGAUUGAGAUUUAGGUUUCUAAAUCAUGAAAUUUUGCAGGAGUAAAAUGGUUGCUAAGCCCACUGGCCAUCUAUUGUAAUUUGAAGUUGACGGAGCUGGGUUUGGUUUCCUGUAAGUUGAUCCAAUUGACUAUUUGGUGGGAAAUUUUAUCCUAUAAUAAUAACGAAAGAUUGCUUGCCAUUUGCCACUGCAGGGUGGAUUACAUUAGGGGAAAGGAGAACAGAGAAUAGAAAUAUCCGGACCUGGGCACCAAAAAGGGACAAGAGGUUGAAUUGGGUGGAGAAGAAAAAUGUUUUAGGGGUGUAUUAAUAAUUAAGCAUAAUUAAGAAACUGAAUUUGUAAAAUUAAAAAAGGGCUUGUCAGGCCCCUGUGAGUGUGAAACUCACAGCGUCUGACAUCCUAUUGCUGUUUUUAAAUGACAAUUCAUUUUUUUGAUUUUAGCAAAUUCUAUAUUUGUGUCUAUAGUUUUGGAAUAUCGUGUUUUUUAGUCCCUUUUUUUAGGUUAACUCUUAUCUAGUACAGUUAACCUCCACAUAAGCACCCGAUUACUACAAAAAGGUGUUUCUUUAUGGCUGAGACAUUAACAUGACUUCUGGUUUUUUGAGGGAAAAAAAGAAAGAAGACUUCCAGUUCCAUCAAUUGAUAUUUCGUCCAAAUGUUGCAGGAUAUAAGAUUGGUUCCUAGCAGAUUCGCAAGCAAAAUCAUAUUUUACAAUGGUCUAAGAGAUCCGUACAGUAAUGGCGGGUAACAAAUAAUUUAAGAAAAUUCUUUAUUAUCUUCCAUCAAGUUAUAUAUAUAGAGUUUUCCAAUGGUUUUCAUUCUUCAAUUUAAGGGUUCUUGAAGACCUAUAGGACACCGUUCGUGCAAUCUAUACAACUAAUGGUCUCCGUUUAAUUUUGUUACUGCGACCAAUUUUGUAAAUUUACUAAGAAUUGAUAUUCAUAUUUUCUUGAGAAGCAAGUAUAUUUUAUCAUGAAUUUGAUCUAGAAUAGAACUUUUAUCAACCAUAUUGAGGAUAGAUGUGGAUUGAUGCCCAAUACAUACUUUUCUCGUAUUGUUGUGCAAAUCAUGAGUUGUCAAUUUGCAAGGUCUCGUAGCUGGUUAGUCAAGCAAAGGUAGACAUAUACUUGAAGGGUGGACCAAAGCACAUGCAGAUGUCGCUUCAAUAGAAAAACGUAUAAAGAAACUUAACCAGUCAUAGGCUCCAGCUGAUGGUUUAAUCCCUCGCGGAUUCCCUCUGAAUUUAUCCAUUUCCCUUAAUAUAGAGUAGGAAUAGAUAUAAAAUAAAAUUUAUUAUAUAAAAAAAAAAGUCAUAGGCUUUAGCUGGCAUUAGACUGCCAGUGUUCGAAAAAAAAAAAGUAUUGUGAAGACAAAUAUCUUUUUGGGCUCAAAAGUAAGGAAAUAUGGAUGAUUUUCAUUUUCCUUUGAUCUCAAGUGUAGAAGAAAAUAAUCUUAAAUGUCAGUAUCGUCUUUAUUCUGCAUUCCUACAGCGACCGUAUAACUGUGGUACCACAACAUAUGAGUGCAACAUUAACGAAAAUGAUAUACAAAAUGACCAAAUCAAAAAAUUUUCAUGUACAUAUAAUAAAUUGUUACGCACAAAUAUUUCCUAAUCUAAUAAUAGCCUGAUGAUAUUAUUGUUGACCCACUUUUUAAUUCUCUCUGUUUUUUUUUUCCUUGAACAGAAGAAUACCUUCUAUUCUUCCAAGUCACUACACCAAAUGAUUCUAGAAAGAGAAUAAAAGCACGCUUGAUUUUGUGGUCUAGAAUGUAGUUUCUAGUGCCAUUGCUGUGGACCAAGUAUAUCUUCUUAUUUUCACUUUUUUGCUCUAAAGACUUCUAUUGCAGCUAUCAUCAAUGGCAUCAAUCACGUCCAUUGUGCUGGCAUAGUUCAUAGAGAAUGAAUUAUGUCUGCAAGUUCACUAACAAGAAAAGCCCCAAAAAAAAAAAAGAAAAGAGGAAGAGAGGUCUACACUCAAGGAUAAAAACGCGUUAUAUAUCUGAAAAUAAAUUAAAAGUAUACAAUAAGUAGUUAAAUUGAACCAAGGAUUCAAAUGGAGGUAGCAUGAGUUCCAAUGAGCCCAUAGGUCUGGACGUCAAUCUUAUUUUUUCCUGCUUUAUAAAUUCAUUUAGAAAAUUUUUUAAAAAAAAGAAUGAUAAAGAAGUACGCAGUUAAUAAAAAGCCAGAAGCAAUACUAGGUCCAAACACCAAAAAUAUUUACUAAUAUCAGCACAAUAAAUAGAAUUCUUAUUUUCUUAGGUGUCGAUUGGAAUGCAUGCAUGGGUCUGUAUCUGACUGAUGCUUAAGCAUACAGACUAGUAUUUCACUGUCACUCGCGACCGAAAGCACUUAUGAAGGAGAUGCGUAAAUGCGCAGCAUCGAAUCUUCACGCACGCGCGCCUAGUGACUUUGACCAAGUUGCAUGUUACUCUCAGCUUUGCUUGAAGUUUACUAGUAGGCUAUAUCACUUGAAAAAGCCAACCAUAAAGAAAUUAUAAGAUUGUCCAGUAGCUGGGAGAGACUUUUCAAAAUUCUUCCCGCUGUCAAGAGUUUUUAGAAUUUUUUUCGUUAUCAAAUUUAGGGUUUAAAUUCUGGAUCCGGCGGUUAAGGGUGCACUACAAGACAUUUAGAUUUUUUGUGACUUGUCAAAUAGUUGCAAGUCACAAAAAGCUUCUCUUAUGAUAUGAAAUUAAUGAUAGUCACAAAAAGUGUGUUCUUUUAGUCAUAAAUAAUAGGAAUGACAUUGAUUUAUGAGUCACAAUUGAUUUUGUGACUUGUAAAAAGAAUGUCACUAUUUUUUUAUUCAUAGUUCAUCAUGUGACUUGAAAGAUCAAUUGUGAUUAUGGAAAAUGGUGACACUCAUUUACAAGUCACAAGAUUAAUUGUGAUUCGUAAAUAAAUGUCAUUUAUAUUAUUUGUGACUUUAAGUCAUGCAUUUUAUGACUUAAAACCAGGUUAUUGCUACAUGCACCAAUUUCAUGUCAUAAAAAGUAAGUUUUUUGUGACUUGCAUUAAUAUGACAAGUCAUGAAAAGCCAAAUUUCUUGUAGUAGUGGAAAAAUUGUGGGAAGGAGUGGGAGGUUAAAAAAAAACGGAUAAUUUCAGAAACCUCUCCUGAGGUUUCUGAAAAUUUCACUGAACUCCCUUGAGUUUUUCAAUAUUACACUUACCUCCUUUGAUGAUAGACAAUGAGUAUAAUAACCUUCAUAAUUUUUCAAAGGACAAGCCAUUGAUAAAAAAGGGAAAAGAUAAUAGAAAAAAGGAAAAAACAAUUCUUCUUGACCAAACCAUAUGUUGUGGCCAAACUAUUUCAGUCAUAACCAUUAAAUUGUAACUUCUUAUCACUCAAAUAUGCUAAUCAAGGUAGAUGUCUCCUUCCUUCUAUCACUCAAAUAUGCUAUUGCUGUUGAUAAUGAUGGAAGCAAUCAUCACUACCAACAAUCCAAUUAUUCAUAUUAUUGAGUAUAAAAAAGCCACUGGAUUACGGAAAAGUAUAAUUUGAAGACUGUACUAAAAUUAUGAUCCCAAACUUGCACUUUUGUUGAUGUUGUUUGCCUUUUAAAAAAAAUUAUGACUAUUCAUACUAAGGAAAUUUAGAUGAGGGAAAUUUUGGGCAAUCAUAUACUUUUUUAGUCUUACAGCAUCAAGGUGAAACCCAAACCUAUUUCUAGGGGAGGUAUGUGUAAUUUUCAAAACAUGAGGGGAGCUGUUUAAUAUUAGUAGAAACCUUAAGGGAGGUUACUGAAAUUAUCCAAAAAAAAAAAGAAAAUUAUAAGUUUGCCCUUGAGUGGACUGUGGAGAUGGUCCUCCAAUUUUCUGAAGUUGCUAUAGAUUGAUUAUAUUGGGCUUAAAUAAGUUCUGAGUUGGUCAAUUUUUUAAUCGAAUUAAUUUGUAUGAGAAAGAAGAGGAGGAGAGAGUGACCAUGGUCCAUGGUUGCACCAGCGCUCGGAGUGGAGGAGGAGUUGGAAUGGUUGUUGUGUCAUUUCAAGGCACGAAUGUUUCCUCAUACACAAAUUAUGGUCUCCAUCCAUGAACACACGUGUGAAUAUUGAAAAUUGUGUUCAAACUAUACUUUGUCAAGUUAUUAUCUAAGUCGUCUCUAGAAUCUAGACCCGAGAUCUAUACCAAUAAACUAUGAUAACUAAUUAAUGCCGUUACCACAAAAAUUUUAAGUUUAUAGAGAGAUUAUUUGACAACAAUGGAACUCAUUGAAGUUUGAACACCCCAUUUAGUUAACUAAUCAUGGUGAAAACAGCACUCGCUUCUUGUUUUCAGUCAGAAGUUUGUGUUCAAUUUAGUGUUAACCUCUGAAAUUUUUAUUUUGUCCUAAACUCGGGGGAAAGUGUCACAGGCUAAGAAGAGCAAUCAAUCGUUGCCAAAACGUCCAAGAAGAAGAGAGGUUCGCUAAGUGAAUGCAAGGGACCGUGUAUUUGGCUAAGAAAUAACAUGAUGAGCCUUCAAUAAGCUUUCCAUCUCUAACAUUUAUUUUUCUUUCAUAAUCAACGACAUAAUUUUCAUUCUAAUCCCCCAUAGUUAGGGUAGAACACUUUUUUCUUUCAGACUUGCAUAAGUUUCAAUAUUGAGUUAUUUGUUGCUUCAUAUUUGCAAUCUGACCAACUUGUUUGAUUCUUCUGUUUUAAUUUUCACAAAUUAGAUGGAGAACAUUUCAAAAAUUUUCGAUUAAUUUGGUGGUUUUUUCUCAAUUCCAUCAAUCAAUCAAAGUUGAUAACCCAAGGGACUAAAAUAAUUUCCUUCAAAAAAUGAUAGAUCAUACCCGUUUGUUUUUCGUCAAUGAAGUCUUGGACUGGAUAGUGGUGAAACAAGAAAGGAUAAAGUCCAAAGAAUUAAAAGUUCUAAAAUCUCACAAAUCAAUUAAUGUUAAAACUAUCAUUUGUGAGAGAUUUAUAAUCUGUCAGUGUUAAGUCACUGCAACACAUGCAGCUUUAUAUGAAACGGUUUGGGUUUUAAUGAUGAGUGACCAAAGUCAAAAUAGGAAAAUAUGAAUGUUACGAGGGCUGUGAUUUUAAAGGUAAAAUACUACUUUUUACCAUUAAUUUACUCAGUUUCAUCUUUAUUCAUAUAUUUAGACAUUUUUCAUCUUUGAUUUUUGGACACUUUAUGAAUGUUUAAAAUACAAAUUAAGGAUUGGGAGUAUUUUAUCUAUAUUUUAUAAUUACAGUGUCUGUGAUACUGCUAAAUUCCAUCAAAAUAAUCGCUUCAUGUGAUCAUUAGUAGUUGUUGAGUGGGAUAAUAGGAACGUAGAGGAUGUAUAAGAGUGACUAAAUUUCAUUUUGAACCCUUAAAUUAUAUGUACACUCUCAUUAAAAUGACAUGAAUUUCAUACUUUAAGGAAUAAAGUGUUAAAAAUUAAAUUUUUAGGACUAGAGCAAGGGUACACCUAUAGUUUAAGGUUUCAAAGCGAAACUUACCCAUCAUCCAAGAGGACUUUUCCCGAGAGUGUAUCACGUUCUUCUAGAACGCUUUCUACUUUGAAAUUGUAUGAUAUGCUAUUUAACAGCAUUAAUAUAGUGCGCCAGAGGCAGAUAUAUUCCACUGACGCGUGGACUGACUCAAUAUCAUUGUGGUUUCUUUGAUUCUUUCCACAACUACCUCCUUUGACGACUCCAAGAUAAAAACAAAAACAUCUAGAUACAAUUUGUGUUCUUAUACGUUUGAAAUUUGAUCCUCUAGAAAUUACCUUUAUUAGAAAGGUAAUCAUAUUUCUAGAUGAAAACCGAAAUUUCAAAAAGGAAAUAAGCUAUCAUUCCUAUAAGGACUUGGAAGAGUUGAUGUAUAUUUGGAGAGAUGAACUUGAUAUUCAAAGAUGACAAGUUACAAGUUAUCCAUUAACGCAUUAAAAAGUUGCCUACAUCCUUUUUCAUGCCAAAAUAUGUUGCUUUCUACUUGAAAUUUCCUUUGGAGUCCUAAAUCAUAAGAUGAUUAUAUCCACAUCCACACUUUGCAAAUCACUGAAGAGAACAACAAUGGGAAGAUAUAUACAUAAUUUAGGUGACCAAUUGGCCAAGUACUUCUAGCAAAUUUUAUUGAAUAUCACUUUGGCAAAAAUAUUGCACGUCGUUCCCUAAUUGGAUACCUAUAGAAAAAAUAUAAUUACGCCAAUGUUAUGAAACAAUUAAAAGUAUGAAUGUUCCUUUGUAUUCCCAAGAGAUUUAAUUCUUGAUUUAUGAUUACAUUAUGUAUAGAAAUUACAAUCUAUAAAUCUAUUUAUGUAGUGGAGAAACCGUUUCAUAGGUUUCUUCAUAUUCUUGUAGUAGUGGGUGUUUAAUAAGAUUAAUGUACCUUUAAUUUUGUAGUACGUAUAUAUAGAGGUACAUUGACACCCUUUGGGAAGACUUUUAUAUUUUGUUGGAAUACAAGAAUAUCAUUCUCCAUUGCUCUACUUUUCCUCUAAUAUCUUCAUUCAUACUAUAAUAGUUUAUUAGUUUUACAACACGUCAUCAGCACGAGUCUCUAUUUUUGAGCAAAAGGUGAAAACGGAGCCUCUACCUUGAGUAAAAGUGAAACAAGAGAUUCUGCCGUAUUUUUUCAGCAACUUCUGUCUGCUUAUUGAGGUAAAUUUUUUAUACAUAAAUUUAUUUCAAUUUCUUAUGACUAACAUUUGAAUGAUCGAAAAAAUACAAGUGCCUAUUGCUGAGCAAUCAUUAAACACAAAUAUAUACUGUUUGACAUUUUUGAGGUAAUAUUUCUCCUUUUAAUUCUACUUAUUUAUCUUUAGAAUUAUUUGUUAUAAAUACUUAUAUUCUAAUGCAUUGAGUUUUGGAGAUGCUAUUAUAGAAAAUUAAUUAUAUUUGAGGAUCUACUUGUCCUUUGAAAUACUUAAAGAAAAAGAUUCGACCACUUGAAGAUGGUCGUUCUUUAACGAAAAUAUUUGGCCACCAGAAGAUGGUCAUUAUUUCAAAAGCUUGGUAUGAUAAAUUUACCUAUGGUUACAAGAACAUAAUUAUGCAAUUUUCAAAAUUACUUUUCAGUUAAAAUUGUGUCGAGAAAAUUUUGCUCAUAAGAUAUAUUGAAAAUGAUAUUCUCUACAAUUGAUUUCUCAAAUAUGCUCUUGUAGUAGCAAUAUUGAGAGAAAAUUUGAGAAGUAUUCUGUACUUAUUGUAUGCUAGUUCUAGUCAAUUCUCAGAAGUGAAUUUGACUAAAUUUUAAUUUACUAGUUAUGAUUGUUGCCAUGACUAUGAUUUUGGUAAAUAUAUAUUUUACCAUGACAAGAGAAAAAGUUACCACUUGAAGUGGGAUAAUAAUGAUAAGGACAAGAAAAUAAAGGUCCUAAAGAUAAAUGUCCCGAAGUACAUUUGACGAAUCAAAAUUAUAAUAGCAUUUUCACAUGGCCAAUUUCUUUAAACGCCCUGAAGGUGUAUGAUGAUUGAUUUAAUUUAUGAUAGUAAUUGACUUUUCUUCCUGAAGAAAAAAUAGAUGUUAAAUAUUUGGGAUCAAAGGAUUAUGGUGAUGAUAUUUGUCCCAUAAGAAUUAUGGUUAUAAUGAUAUGUGUCUCAUUAAUAAGUACUACUAUGUACACUAUUUUACAACAAAAGAGUAGUGCUUAAGUGAUUGAAAGUUCCGGAAGAACCACUGCUAUAUUUCUCCUUGUAGGAGAAAAGUUUAUCAUAAAUAAAACACUACUUUUUACCAUGUCUCGAAAGAAUUAUUGAAUUUGAAUAUCCGUCGAAAUGGAUAUCAAAUUGAGAUACUAAAUGAGACAAUAAUAGAGAUCACGUUUAGAAAUCAAGUGAGAUAAAGGUUAAUUAUAUCAUAAUAACCAUUUGAGAGAGAAAUGGUUAUCGAUAUAGUUGUCUUCAUUCUCAUUUGAUUUAUAAUCAUCACCUGCAGUAAACCAGAAGUUUACUAAUCCCAACGGAUAUAUGAUUUGGCAAAAGUGAGAAUAUUUGAGAACCGACAAGUAUUUAUACAUACCCUCUUUAUAUUAUAUAUGGCUCCAAAAGAAAUUUAAAAUUUAUGUCGGGUAUGAAUCACCUUUUACGAUUAAAUAUCGUAAAAUAUUGAUAGGUGAUCUAUUGAAUAAUUUAUUUAUUCUGAUGAGCUACGAUUCCCGAUAUUAGGGGGAGGAAAAAAUCAAUCGAAAGGAAAUCACCUGAAAAAUUAGAUUUCCUCGAUCCUUAUACAAAAUAAUAUGAACUAAAAGUUCAAAAAAUUCUUCAUUUGUAGAUAGUUAUAUUUAUCGACUUCAAAAGAGUAAUUAAAUCAAUUAUUCCUGUAGGAAAUACUCUGGCUAAGAUUGAUGUCCCUGAAGGACAUGUACAAGUGCUACAAAUAAAUUUAAGGCCGGCCUACCUAAAUAAGGUAUAAAUUGAUUCCAAAUAUCUCCGGAGAUUAAUAAAUGUUAUGACAAAAUUAAACUUUUGAAAAGGUCGCUCCUGAAGAGCUAACUCUUGAAGAGUUUACUCCUGAAAAAAAAUCAUAAAAAAUUUAAUUGGAGCCUAAUGAAAUGUAGCAUUUGAUAUUAUAGAAGUUGAUGAUAAUCACGAAUUUAGAUCAGUUGAUGAAUGUCGGUAUAUAAAUGAUUGGCUAAAAUGAAAAGAUGUCAUCCAAUCUGAAUUAGACUCACUGGUUAAAAGAAAAGUUUUUGGAUUUGUAGUCCAAACACCUAAAUGAGUAAAGCUAGUAGCUUAAGGUCACAAAGGCCUGAAUUUAAUUAUGAUGGAACGUAUUCACCCUUAGUGGAUGCUGUUACAUUUAGAUAUCUUAUGAGUUUUGCAGUACAUGAAAAAUUAAAUAUGCGUCUAAUGGACGUUGUUACUACAUAUUUAUAUGAAAAUAUUGAAAAUGAUAUUUAUAUGAGAAUUCUCGAAGGAUUCAACAUGCCUGAAGCAUGCAAAUCAAAUCCUAACGAUAUUUAUUCUAUUAAAUUACAAAAAUCUUUGUAUGGCCUCAAACAAUCUGGACGUUUGUGGUAUAAUCGCCUCAAUGAACGUCUAACUAAAGAAGAUUAUACCAAUGAUCCAAUAUGUCCAUGUGUUUUUAUCAAGAAAAAUGGAUCAAAUUUUGUGAUAAUUGCUGUAUAUGUUGAUAUUCUAAAUUUGAUUGGAACUCCUGAAGAGAUUCAAAAUAAUGUUGAAUAUUUGAAGAAAGAAUUUGAGAUCAAAGAUUUUGGAAAAACAAAAUUUUGCCUUGGUUUACAAAUUGAGUAUUUGAAAAGUGAAUUUUUUGUCCACCAAACUGCUUAUACCCGGAAGGUAUUAAAGCGGUUUUAUAUGGAUAAGGCACAUAUAUUAAGUACUCCAAUGGUUGUCAGAUCAUUAGAUCCUAAUAAGGAUCCUUUUAGAUCGCGAGAGGAAAAUGAAGAGAUACGUGGUCCUGAAGUAUCAUAUCUCAGUGCAAUUGGCGAAAAAUAUUUGGAAUGCGACAAUUAAAAGAUCUCAAAUGAUAUUUGCAUCAGGAGGAGAAAUUAAUAUACAAGAAUAGUGUACUCUUUUUCCUUCAUUAGGAUUUUUGUCCCGAUGAAUUUUUCCCUAGUGAGGUUUUAACGAGGCAUAUUCUUUGUGUAAUGGACAUCCAAGGGGGAGUGUUAUGAAACAAUUAAAAGUAUGGAUGUCCCUUUGUAUUCCCAAGAGGAUUAAUUCUCGAUUUAUGACUACAUUAUGUAUAGAAAUUACAAUCCAUAAAUCUAUUCAUGUAGUGGAGAAACCAUUUCAUAGGUUUUUUCAUAUUCUUGUAGUAGUGGGUGUUUAAUAAGAUUAAUGUACAUUUAAUCUUGUAAUACCUAUAUAUAGAGGUAUAUUGACACCCUUUGAGAAGACUUUUGUAUUUUGUUGGAAUACAAGAAUAUCAUUCUCCAUUGCACUACUUUUCCUCUAAUAUCUUCAUUCAUACUAUAAUAGUUUAUUAGUUUUACAACACGUCAUCAGCGCGAGUCUAUAUUUUUGAGCAAAAGGUGAAAACGGAGCCUCUACCUUGAGUAAAAGUGAAAUAAGAGAUUAUACCCGUAUUUUUUCGGCAACUUCUGUUUACUUAUUGAGGUAAAUUUUUGACACAUAAAUUUAUUUCAAUUUCUUACGGCUAACAUUUGAAUGAUCGAAAAAAUGCAAGUGCCUAUUGAUGAGCAAUCAUUAAACACAAAUAUAUAUUGUUUGACAUUUUUGAGGUAAUAUUUCUCCUUUUAAUUAUACUUAUUUAUCUUUAGAAUUAUUUGUUAUAAAUACUUAUAUUCUGAUGCAUUGAGUUUUGGAGAUGCUAUUAUAGAAAAUUAAUUAUAUUUGAGGAUCUACUUGUCCUUUAAAAUACUUAAAGAAAAAGAUUCGACCACCUGAAGAUGGUCGUUCUUUAACGAAAAUAUUUGGCCACCAGAAGAUGGUCAUUAUUUCAAAAGUUUGGUAUGAUAAAUUUAUCUGUGGCUACAAGAACAUAAUUAUGCAAUUUUCAAAAUUACUUCUCAGUUGAAAUUGUGUCGAGAAAAUUUUACUCAUAAGAUAUAUUGAAAAUGAUAUUCUCCACAAUUGAUUUCUCAAAUAUGCUCUUGUAGUAGCAAUAUUGAGAGAAAAUUUGAGAAGUAUUCUGUACUUAUUGUAUGCUAGUUCUAGUCCAUUCCCAGAAGUGAAUGUGACCAAAUUUCAAUUUACUAGUUAUAAUUGUUGCCAUGACUAUGAUUUUGGUAAAUAUAUAUUUUAUCAUGACAAGAGAAAAAGUUACCACUUGAAGUGGGAUAAUAAUGAUAAGAACAAGAAAAUAAAGGUCCUAAAGAUAAAUGUCCCGAAGUACAUUUGACGAAUCAAAAUUAUAAUAACAUUUUCACAUGGCCAAUUUCUUUAAACGCCCUGAAGGUGUAUGAUGAUUGAUUUAAUUUAUGAUAGUAAUUGACUUUUCUUCCUGAAGAAAAAAUGGAUGUUAAAUAUUUGGGAUCAAAGGAUUAUGGUGAUGAUAUUUGUCCCAUAAGAAUUAUGGUUAUAAUGAUAUGUGUCUCAUUAAUAAGUGAUACUAUAUACACUAUUUUACAACAAAAGAGUAGUGCUUAAGUGAUUGAAAGCUCCGGAAGAACCACUGCUAUAUUUCUCCUUGUAGGAGAAAAGUUUAUCAUAAAUAAAACACUACUUUUUACCAUGUCUUGAAAGAAUUAUUGAAUUUGAAUAUCCGUCGAAAUGGAUAUUAAAUUGAGAUACUAAAUGAGACAAUAAUAGAGAUCACGUUUAGAAAUCAAGUGAGAUAAAGGUUAAUUAUAUCAUAAUAACCAUUUGAGAGAGAAAUGGUUAUCGAUAUAGUUGUCUUCAUUCUCAUUUGAUUUAUAAUCCUCACCUGCAGUAAACCAGAAGUUUACUGAUUCCAACGGAUAUAUGAUUUGGCAAAAGUGAGAAUAUUUGAGAGCCGACAAGUAUUUAUACAUACCCUCUUUAUAUUAUAUAUGGCUCCAAAAGAAAUUUAAAAUUUAUGUCGGGUAUGAAUCACCUUUUACGAUUAAAUAUCGUAAAAUAUUGAUAGGUGGUCUAUUGAAUGAUUUAUUUAUUCUGAUGAGUUACGAUUCCCGACAUUAGGGGGAGGAAAAAAUCAAUCAAAAGGAAAUCACCUGAAAAAUUAGAUUUCCUCGAUCCUUAUACAAAAUAAUAUGAAUUAAAAGUUCAAAAAAUUCUUCAUUUGUAGAUAGUUAUAUUUAUUGACUUCAAAAGAGUCAUUAAAUCAAUUAUUCCUGCAGGAAAUACUCUGGCUAAGAUUGAUGUCCCUGAAGGACAUAUACAAGUGCUACAAAUAAAUUUAAGGCCGGCCUACCUAAAUAAGGUAUAAAUUGAUUUCAAAUAUCUCCGGAGAUUAAUAAAUGUCAUGACAAAAUUAACCUUUUGAAAAGGUCGCUCCUGAAGAGCUAACUUUUGAAGAGUUUACUCCUGAAAAAAAAUCAUAAAAAAUGUAAUUGGAACCUAAUGAAAUGUAGCAUUUGAUAUUAUAGAAGUUGAUGAUAAUCAUGAAUUUAGAUCGGUUGAUGAAUGUCGGUAUAUAAAUGAUUGGCUAAAAUGAAAAGAUGUCAUCCAAUCUGAAUUAGACUCACUGGUUAAAAGAAAAGUUUUUGGAUUUGUAGUCCAAACACCUAAAUGAGUAAAGCUAGUAGCUUAAGGUCACAAAGGCCUGAAUUUAAUUAUGAUGAAACGUAUUCACCCUUAGUGGAUGUUGUUAUAUUUAGAUAUCUUAUGAGUUUUGUAGUACAUGAAAAAUUAAAUAUGCGUCUAAUGGACGUUGUUACUGCAUAUUUACAUGAAAAUCUUGAAAAUGAUAUUUAUGUGAGAAUCCUCGAAGGAUUCAACAUGCCUGAAGCAUGCAAAUCAAAUCCUAACGAUAUUUAUUCUAUUAAAUUACAAAGAUCUUUGUAUGGUCUCAAACAAUUUGGACGUAUGUGGUAUAACCGCCUCAAUGAACGUCUAACUAAAGAAGGUUAUACCAAUGAUCCAAUAUGUCCAUGUGUUUUUAUCAAGAAAAAUGGAUCAAAUUUUGUGAUAAUUGCUGUAUAUGUUGAUGAUCUAAAUUUGAUUGAAACUCCUGAAGAGAUUCAAAAUAGUGUUGAAUAUUUGAAGAAAGAAUUUGAGAUCAAAGAUUUUGGAAAAACAAAAUUUUGCCUUGGUUUACAAAUUGAGCAUUUGAAAAGUGAAUUUUUUGUCCACCAAACUGCUUAUACCCGGAAGGUAUUAAAGCGGCUUUAUAUGGAUAAGGCACAUAUAUUAAGUACUCCAAUGAUUGUCAGAUCAUUACAUCCUAAUAAAGAUCUUUUUAGACCGCGAGAGGAAAAUGAAGAGAUACUUGGUCCUGAAGUACCAUAUCUCAGUGCAAUUGGCGAAAAAUAUUUGGAAUGCGACGAUUAAAAGAUCUCAAAUGAUAUUUGCAUCAGGAGGAGAAAUUAAUAUACAAGAAUAGUGUACUCUUUUUCCUUCACUAGGGUUUUUGUCCCGAUGGAUUUUUCCCUAGUAAGGUUUUAACGAGGCAUAUUCUUUGUGUAAUGGAUAUCCAAGGGGGAGUGUUAUGAAACAAUUAAAAGUAUGGAUGUCCCUUUGUAUUUCCAAGAGGAUUAAUUCUUGAUUUAUGACUACAUUAUGUAUAUAAAUUACAAUUCAUAAAUCUAUUCAUGUAGUGGAGAAACCAUUUCAUAAGUUUCUUCAUAUUCUUGUAGUAGUGGUUGUUUAAUAAGAUUAAUGUACCUUUAAUCUUGUAGUACCUAUAUAUAGAGGUAUAUUGACACCCUUUGGGAAGACUUUUGUAUUUUGUUGGAAUACAAGAAUAUCAUUCUCCAUUACCCUACUUUUCCUCUAAUAUCUUCAUUCAUACUAUAAUAGUUUAUUAGUUUUACAACAGCCAAAAUUUUUUUUUAAAAAAGCAUAGAAAUGACAAAAAUCAAAAUGUGAUAAUUGUUCAACUUUAAGAACCAAAAUAACUUUGUUUCAUGGCACGGUGGAUUGAGAGUUUGCUGCUAUAACACAAAGGGAUAAUUUUAGAAACCUCAAAGUUUUUAUCAAUUUCAUCAAAUUACCUUGAGAUUUAAAAAAUUAUACCAACCUCCCUUGAUUUGAUAGUUUUAGUAGCUAACCCUUAAAAUAACAUUAGAUAGUUUUAGCAACUAAACCUCAAAAUAGCAUUAAUUGGUCCAACAUUUAGAUAAAUGCCCUAAUGUAAUGAAGUUUAAUUUAAUUGCUUUCCUAAACAAUUGUAACCUAAUUUAGCACAAAUAUAGGGAGUGGAAGCCAAGAUUUUAAUACAUAUACUUAUUGUUUGAUAAGCAAAUAUUCUAUCACACUAUGAUAGAGUAUUUUUAAAAAUGCUUUAUUGGGGAUUUAGAUUUUUAAGAUGGAAAAGAAAGUGUUGCCAUCAUAGUUUUAGAUUUUGUGAAUUUUUAGGAGUAGUGGAAUUACUAUUAUUUGGUAGUGGUUUUGAAUAGUUUCUUUUUGAGUUAUUGUUGAUUUUGAUACUUCAAAAAAAAAAAAUCAAGGAAAACACAGAAUGAUAUUCAAAGUUGAUUUGUCAAAAAUAGCCACUAGUUUGAUAUUGGUUACAAUAGAGGCUAUGUGCAAUGUUGAUCAUUCCAUGGUUUUACAGGAGGAAUAACAAGGAAAAAGAAAAGGGAAAAAUAGUUUUAAAACUCAUUGUUUGGGCAAGCAUACCAAACAAGGAAGUUUCAUUAAAAUAUUAAACAUAGUAUUGUGAUUUUAAAUGGACAAUGAAGGUAGGUGUAAUUUUUGAACCUCAAGAUUAUUUAGCGAAAUUGCAAAGAUCUCAGGAGAGGAUUCUGAAAUUAUGCCUAAUAAAAAAUAUUUGGUUAGAGCCACAAUUUUUUUCCCUUGUUUUGAUCUUUAGUCCGACUAGACUAAUGUUGCCAUAUCCAUAAUUGACGAAGUAUUUCAAUCAUGAGGGAUUUCGUAGAAAUUAAACAGUAUAUAAGAGUACAAAUUCAAGAAUAUAAAGUCGUAUGUUUUUUUUAAUCAAAAAAAAAUAUUAUUAAGGGAAAAACAAGGUUACAAACGCCAAUGCUCACAAACUAUCACUCCCUCACAACACGGCGGAGGGAAGGCACUCCAAGCCUAUCCAGAAAUAGAGCUCCUCGCGCUAAUCGGGGCAAAUCCGAAACAACCAUAUAGAUGUCGUCCCGAGCCAACUGGCAACCCGUGUUAGCCAAUGCAUCCGCUACCUGAUUCGCCUGAUGGUAACAGUGAAGAAUCCGAGGCAAGUAAGAUGCAAACCCCAACAACUGCUGCACCUCUGUGUGAAUGCCCCAUGGACAAUGUACUAAUCGUUUCAAAAUAUGGACUAAUACCAACGAGUCCAGCUCCACCUCCAAGGGACCGAACCCCCUCUGGAGACACAACUUGACCCCAAACAGCAGGGCGCGGGCCUCAGCCUGCAUGCUCGAAGCCAAGCCGAAGCUACACGAAAAUGCCAACACCAUCCUCCCCCCCUCAUCACGAAGUACCCCCUCCUCCACUCAAGCCAGGGUUACCCUUAGAACAACCGUCCGUGUUAAGCUUUAGACUUCCGUGGACAGGACGCACCCAUCUAACCAACCUAUGGGAAAACACCGUUUUCCAUGUCGAUAUGGCCAAAUAGAACUGAUCCCACGACCAUGACGGAACCUGGCAGUCCGGAAAUUGAAUCCUGAACCACUGAAUCAUCUCUGAAAAGAUUAAUCGACAUACCUGUGCCCCCACAAACCUCUUACCCUCGUACUUCAUCUCGUUACGAGCCUUCCAAAGAUGUCAGCAUAUCAACAAAGGGACAACCUGAUGUAUGAACCUCAAAGGCUUACUCCGUUGCCGAACCUCCUACCAGGCUGCCAUACAUACGCGAAAUGAAGACCCUGACCAACCUACCCCAACCGGAGCCCCGAAGAACCUCCAAACAUACUGUGCCAUAACCCCAGCACCAAACACAUGCUCUGUAGCCUCAAUCUUAGGAGAUGGGCAGCACGAACAACGAGAGGGUCCAUGUAUCCCCAACCUCCAUAACGAACAAUCCAAGGGGAGUCGGUCCCGUAAUAGCCGCAAAAGGAAAAACGAAACCCUCAGAGGCACCCCUGGAUGCCAAAUACGAUUAAAUAGUGGCGAAGACCCAGAAUGAUGCUGGAUCAAGCUAAAAGCCGUCUUGAGCGUAAAACAACCCGAUGGCUCCAGUUGCCAAAUCAUUAGGUCAGGAAGCGACCCUUUAGGUGGGAGAAUUCGGCCAAUCUCCGCAACAAUACCCGGAGGUACCCAUUGUGAAAUUCUGCCAAUGUCCCAGGCACCGUUUUGCACAAAGUCCGCCACCUUGUGGUCCGACACGCUAUCCAGCCGGGCUGCCAGUCCUCCAGUUCCUAGCCAAUUGUCAAACCAAAAAUUAGAGCUCUCGGACCGAACGAUCCAUCCAAUGUGCCUCUCCGCCAGAACUCGGACUUUCACCAUCCUUCUCCAUCCCUCUGACCCUUUCUCAGAAAAUACCAGGUUGGGGUGCGCCAUGCGGCAAAACUUUGCAUGCAUAAAUGAGGCCCACAAGGAUGACCUGGAACGAAAAUUCCACCAUAACUUGAUGGAGAAGGCCCUGUAAAUAUCCUCUAGAAGACGGAAGCCAACCCCCCCUUCUUCACGCGAACACACAAAUCCUUCCACUGAAUCCAAUGGUGUUUGGGACCUUCCUUAGUCAACCCCCACAGGAAAUUAGAAAACAUACCUUCAAGCUCCUUGAAAACAGAUUUGGGGGGCGAAGCCGCCAUCAACAUGUAUGUCGGCAUAGCAGAGAGGACAUGUUUCAACAACACAAUCCUCCCACCAUGCGACAACAACCUAUUCUGCCAGGACAGCAAUCGCAGGAGGACAGUUUGACACAUACCCCCAAAAAAAUCUUUCUUUCUCCGCCCACAAUAAAGAGGAAAACCAAGGUAUUUAAUCUGAAAUGUUUUAUAUGAGAACCCCGUGACCCUCUGAAUUCCCAAUCGCUUGGAAGAAGAGGCCUUCGGGUGCACCAAAAAACAGCUCUUCCUCGCAUUAAUCCUUUGCCCGGAAACCGCCUCAUACUCAGAUAGCACCUGCUUCACUAACCUCAAAGACUUCACUGAGGCACUGGAGAAGACCAAAACAUCAUCCGCGUAACCCAAAUGAGACACUAGAGGACAACCCCUGGGGAUACGGAACCCCUGAAAACCUCAAUGACUCUGCAACUUAUUCAGCGACCUCGACAACACCUCAGCCCCAAUGAUAAACAGCGCAGGAGAAAGGGGGUCCCCUUGACGAAGCCCCUGGGAAGAUUUAAAGAAGCCAUAUGAUGCCCCAUUUACAACAACAGAGAACCAGACAUUUGAAAUUAACCUCCAAACCAUAUCUAUCCACUGUUCUCCAAAUCCAAACGCUGUGAAUAUAAAGUCGUAUGUGAAGAAAAAUCAAGUAAUGAUAAAAAGAGGGGGAUAGGCGAUCGUAUUCUAAUGUCUCCAUCUUGACUUGGCUCAGUCAAAUGUGCCUAAGAAAUGGUAACAAAUUAAUUUCACCAGCUGUUGAUUUUCCGAAUUAGCAUGAGUACAUAGGGGCUGGAAAUGUGGUCAGGCAGUGGCGUGAUCGCAUCAAAUUAAUAAUCACAUCAACUUGAAUUUAUAGACCUAAUAAAACCAAAAUUAACGAUGAAAAUGAUGUGCUAUAAGCAUAUAUCUCUAUAUAAAUCAACAAGUUGGAACUUGGGAACAUCGUAAACUGAGAAAAGUACACAAAAAAUCAGAACUCUACCAAGAAACUCAAUUCAUUGGCCAUGGAUUUUCUUGGCAGGCUAUUAUCUCAAUUGCUGCCUGUCCCUCUUCUUUUCCUAUGCUUCUCAACUUCCAUUUCAUCAGCUGUAGAUCACCCCCACAAAAUCCCAAGGCUCAGUCCAAUACGGAGAACAAAUCUUCGAGACCCUGACGAUACUCUAACUAAAGCUUCUCUUUCAGAAGAUUUCCAAUCAUACUUUUAUGAACAGACACUAGACCACUUCAAUUAUAAUCCACAAAGCUAUACCAAAUUCAACCAAAGUUAUGUGAUCAAUUCAAAAUUCUGGGGUGGUGCCAAGUCGAACUCUCCAAUCUUGGCAUAUCUUGGCGCCGAAGCUCCAUUGGCUGGAGAUAUAGAGGCUAUUGGUUUUCUUACUGAUAAUGCCCCUCGGUUUAAAGCUCUCCUUGUCUACAUAGAGGUACAGUACUAUCAUAACAUCGUUUAUUCUUCUUUCUUGAUUUAUACUCUAUACUUAACAAACUUGUAAAUACUAAAUGUAUUCCGGGGGUCUUAAUUUUCUUUUGCAGCAUAGGUUUUAUGGAAAAUCUAUACCACUUGGAUCAAUGGAAAAAGUGAUGAAAAGUAAAACCGUUCGUGGUUAUUUCAACUCGGCUCAAGCUUUAGCUGAUUACGCAGAAGUUUUAUUGCAUGUAAAACAUAAAUUUUCUGCUCAAAAUUCUCCAAUUAUCGUUGUUGGUGGAUCAUACGGAGGAAGUAUGUACUUUUCCAUGUUGUUUUUUCUUUAUCCUAUAUUUUUAUUCAUGCAUUUUUUUUUCCUUUCGGUGGUGAUGUAUCUAAAUAUUUCAACUUGGCAGUGCUAGCUUCGUGGUUUCGCCUCAAAUAUCCUCAUAUUGCACUUGGUGCUUUGGCAUCAUCAGCUCCCGUUCUUUACUUUGAUGACAUCACUCCCCAAAAUGGUUAUUAUUCCACUGUGACCAAGGACUUUAAAGUAAUGAAAGAGCUGUUAAUGGUUUCAUGUUUUUGAAUCAUUACUGGAAUUAUUAUAAGUUAAAGAGUUCUGAGAAUAUUUUUGUUAUGUUAAAUUACAGGAGGAGAGUGAGCACUGUUACCAAACUAUACGACAAUCAUGGUCUGAGAUUGACAAAGUUGCUUCUAAACCAAAUGGUCUCUCCAUUCUCAGCAAAAGAUUCAAGACUUGCACGUAAUAAUUCUUCUCUCUCCCUUUGCUUUCGGUCAUUUGACCAAUCAAGAUGUUCUGAUAUUUAGUGUGUAUAGUAGAAACAGUCAAGUCCAUACACUAGUCUUUUUUUUUUUUAACGUCAAAUCAAUAUGCUAGUCUUUUUUUUUUUUAAGUCAAGUCAAUAUACUAGUCAUUAUCAUAUAUGAACUAUUAAUUUGCUUUAUUCGUGAACAUUUAUGUAUUAAUAAUGACUUCCGAUGAUUCCAAAGAAACUUCUCACGCGUGUAUUAAUUAUUUUAGUCCAAGUAAUCACCUCACCAGCUUGAAGUUGACAUUAUAUCUGUCGAUAGUUUGGUAAUUUGGUCCCCAGUUAAGAGCCAUUUUCUUAGGUUAUAUGUAUGUAUAAGUUGUCUAAUUAAUUCUAUAUUUUUUAUUUUCUUUUCUCUUUUGAGUGGUAGAGCUAACACGAUUUUAAGACUCAUUAAAGCAGAUUACUUAAACUUUAAUCUUUUGCACAUGUACAUUAUUUUAUGUACCCAUCCCUACAUAUAUAGGAUCAAACUAGUAAAACACAACUAAUAGUGAAUUAUCUUUCCUUUUAAUUAUUUCAGGCCUUUGAAUAGUUCGUCUCAGCUUAAGGAUUACUUGGAUUCCAUGUUCUCAUCGGCUGCUCAGUACAACUCACCGCCUAAGUAUCCCGUCACUGAGGUGUGUAGUGGAAUAGACAAAGCACCCAAAGGAACUGAUAUUCUUGGCCGCACUUUUGCCGGUGUUGUUUCUUACAAGAAAGAUGAGUCAUGCUAUGAUAUGUUGGAAUAUGCCAGGUCCACUGAAACAAAUAUCGGAUGGCAAUGGCAAGUAAGACCCCUUUGGAUUACUAUUUUUUUGAUAGAUAAAUAUAUUAUACCGAUUUAAUAUAUGUGAGAUAAACAGAUAAUUAAAAAAUAUUUUUACCAAAAUGUCAAUUUUUUUUUCAAAAAAUAACAAUCCAAAUCUCUAAUCUGUCUCUUGUUUCCCUUAUUAUUAUUAUUUGCACUAAGCCAGGACCUGAUUAAUGAUGUUAGGAAGAUAAUUAAUUGUUGUACUUGAGUUUGAAAUAAAUUUCAAUUGAAAAGGGCUUCUUUUUUUUUUUUUUUCAAUAGACUUGUAGCGAGAUGGUGAUGCCUAUUGGGUGCGGCAGCAAUGAUACGAUGUUCCCACCAUCACCUUUCAACCUACCGGAUUUCAUUAAGAACUGCAAAAGUUCAUAUGGGGUCUUACCUCGACCUCAUUGGAUCACAACUUAUUAUGGAGGCCAUGUAUGUUUUCUUGGUUGUUUUCUUUAUCAUGUCUUCAUAUUUUUCCAAAUAGAAACUUCUAACUUAGUCUUUGAUAUCAUUUUCACUUUUCCAUUGUUGAUCCUCAUAUGUAAAUCCAACAAAUGUAGGACAUGAAAUUGGUUUUCCAAAGAUUUGGAAGCAAUAUCAUAUUCUCCAAUGGCUUGAAGGAUCCUUAUAGUAGUGGCGGGUAAUUGAAUAAGACAUUUUUCCUUUUCCUUCUUUAUUGAUUCUGUGUGCUUAUUAUAUUGAAAUUACUACUUAUGGCUUCUUAAGCUAAUUAAUCAUUAAACAUCUUAAUCGCAGAGUACGAGAGAACUUAUCCAGCAGCCUUCUUGCUAUUUAUACAGUUAAAGGUUCGUUUUUUAAGCUCUUUCCAUUCUAAGUAAACUCAAUUCGAUCCUCUAUUUCCUUUUGCAUCUUCUCAAGUAGUCUUCUUAAUUGGAAAGAUUAUUUCCCUCACAAACAUAACCAAAUAAGUGCUAAUGACACUAAAAAAUACGAGUCACAUUUCUUUGUGUCUGUAGUAUGUGGGCUUCCGUUAAAUGAUUUGUGAUGGCCAUUUCGAAAUCAUUUUUUUUGCAGGAUCUCAUUGCUUGGACAUACUGGCAGCAAAAGAAAGUGAUCCGUCCUGGUUGGUUGCUCAAAGGAAAUUGGAGGUUGAGAUCAUUGAAGGAUGGAUCAAACAGUAUUAUGCUGAUGUUCAUUCCAUUGGAAAACAAAGAUAUGCUUAAGUCUUUGCUUUUUCUGGAAUUAAAACAAACAGAAGAAGGGGAAGUUAGAAGCAUUAUUAUUGACCAAGUGCCGCACUCUUUUCUUUCUUCUUAUUUAAGGUUCCAAAUGAUCCCCUGUAACAUCAUGAUUCAUAAAUUUUAAAAAUGGAAUCCAACAUCUUAGUGCUCCCAACAACGUAAGUUUUACGUGACUUAUACAUCAGAUAGUAGAAUCUAUCUCUGUGUUUCUAAGGUUCCAAAUGAUCCUCUCGUAACAUCAAGGCUUCAUGUAACAAUAGAUCAAACUUGACAAAUCAAAUCACAAAUCGAUCUUCCUCAUGCGGAAAAAGGUUGCCAGGAGGUGACAUAUAGGUUCUUCAGUCAAUUUGAUCACCUUCUUUGUAGAAGAACUAGAAAAUGUUUAGAGUAUUUAUAUAUGUUGGUGUAUUUUAAUAAAAUCUUAAUUUUUUCCUUGACCAAAUCUUUACGAGUUAUAAUAAUUUAUUUGGAAGUUAUUUGAAUUAUAAUUGUGGGAGUUUCAUUACAAGGAGUUAUAAUAAUUUAUUUGGGAGUUGGAUUUAUAAUCCAUUCAAAUGUGGAUUAAUUUUUUAGGUUACAAAUUCUACUAAUUGACUACAAUUUAAUAUAGAAAAACCGUUACACAUUUUCAACCCCUUUUUCUUAAGGUUUUGUAGCUUAUAAAUAGUGAAAUUCUUUGGAGAAUUUAUACAUACACAUCUCUCAACAAAAAAUCAUUCUAAAUACUAUUUUCUUCACACUUUUUUCUUUCUCCCUCAUUCUAUUUUCUUUGGGCAAAGUAAGAUAUUGGAACGCUUCUGCUUCUCUUGGUUGUGCAGAUCAAAGGGAAGCAACAACUAUAGAGUUGGGCUGUUGUAUCCUGGAGGCGGCGCGCUAGACCUUCUGCAUCGGUUUAAAAAAUACCGUAAGGGCGCGUAUCGUCUUAAAGAGAGCGUUUAACGCGCCUCAACCCUACCGAACUUUUUAGUAGCUGUCAAUUCAAGGUAGUCGGAUUAAAGAUCAGAAGCUGUUCAUCCAAUAAUUUUAAGAUCUAGUUCGCAUAUCAACCCAUGCCAAAAUAACUUUGAUGGUACAAAUUAUUUGCAUUUAUUAAUGCAAUAUUGAGGUAUGAGAUUUUGUGAAUUUCUUUGUUAAAUUUUUACCAAAGAAAUUACUAUUACUUAUAUGAUUAAUUUGGUCUAGAAUGAACAAUUUUAAGAUGAUAAGCCUCUCGUUGCAUAUUUUGCUUCUAAAUAAUCAAAUCAUAAAACUAACAUAAUCCCGACAAUGAGAAUUUUAAAUGGUGCAUAACAUAAUCGGGACAAGCUUUAAUAAACAAGAUAUUUCAUGUGAAUGGUCAUAAUUAUAGACUCAGACUAGAAAGGAUAAUAUCCAUUGAUUUUAUGUACUUUGGAGUCUGGUAUCAAUAUUGUGUACGCGCCUAUAAAUAAUUCGAAAUAUAUGCCCAUUCUACUUGCUCCUAUUUUUUUUAAAAAAAAAACUUUAUAUUCAAAGUUUUUGAACUGGUUGUGAAAUUGCUAAGUAAUUUUAGAUGUGUGCUGUUUAUCUAUGCACAUGAAAUCUAGUGAUGAGGUUUUAAGAAUAAGUAAUUGACUAAAGAAUGCAAUGCAUUUUAUAAUUGCCCAAUUGCAUUCAAAUUUAAAAGUUUAUUACUUUAAUGUGUACGAUCUCAUAGUUUUGAAGUAUGCCUAAAAGACUUGUAUAUGAGUAUUUUCUUGGUUUCGGUUUUCAACGUGAUUGCAAAAGAAAACAUUGCUAUACAAAAGUACAAGUCUUAUGACAUUAUAGUUCAAACAAUUGUAAACCAGUUGGCCAUCAACUUGAAUUCAACUGCAGUCGAGAUACACUAAACACGAUGCAUGUAUAACUUGGAGUCAAGUUCAAUUUCCAAGUCUGUAGACAGCCUCAUUUUAAACAAUGAUGAUCUCAAAAUAUAUGAAUGACUUUGCAGCUAUUUAGUUGCUGAAUGUGUGUGUUUAAAAAAAAAAAAAAGUCAAGUUUCUGGUUGAUGUUAAUGUGUGAUUUGUACCCAAUAAGAUGGCUUUUAUGCUUAUGUACUACUUUGAGUGUAUAUCAUUUUGAGUACCUAGAACACUAUUUUUGUACUAUCUUAACAUAUGAACUCCAUGAGUAGUCUUGAAUGAAUAAUUAUUAAAAACAGUGGGGGUAUGUAAUUACAUGAUAACAUUGCAUUCUUCAAUUGAGUGCAUGACUAUGACACGUUGAAGAACAACUGUGUAAUUUGAAAUACUAUGCAGAUAAAUAUCUAAAUAGUAUCUGCAGAAUUGAAUGAAUCAUUUGCUAAUGCUUUACCACUAUGUGUUUAUAAAAAAAAAAUGUCAAAUGUAUUCUAUAUGCAAAUAUACGGUGCUUUAUUAGUUAUCAAUAUAAAUUUCAUCUUUUAUUAGAUUGUUUUGUGGCAUAUACUCCCCGUGAUUUUGCACAAGGUAAUGUUGCCUAAAAUUGUAAUUGUUAUCUCUAUUUUUAGUCUUAAAUUAGUAAGUACUAUUUUACAAUUUCUUCUAGUUUGUUGAAAAAGUUUAAACUUGGGAGGUUGUUAAUUUUGGUGAUAGUUAAAAGCUACUGAACAGUACUCCAAGCACUUGAUAUGGAUUGGUUAUGAUAAAUAGUGGGGGUGUCUAAAUCCAAUGGCUAAUAUAGAACGUGACUUUUAAAUGCUAUAUGCAUUUAUUUUACCAUCUUGACACAGACUUUGAAAUUUGAUUGUGAGAUUAUCUUGAGAAUUAUAUUAUAAGUUUCUUAUUCCUUGGUUUGAGUGUGCAGAUUAGUGGUGACCAAUAAAUGAUGCGUAAUGCCAAGGUGUUAGAAACACGAUGGUAAUAGAAGUGGUGAAAAAAAAAUAAAGGUGAUAUCAUUUUAUUACUCAAUUUAUGAGUAUAACUUUUGGAUUUAUUUUGACUCUUAUUUUGAGCUGUGCAGACUAGCACUCACUAAAAAGUAUGAUCUGAUGUGAAAGUAUUCAAAAUAUUUUCUUGGUAUUUUUUUGCAAAAACAAAAUUAACCAUGAAGAUUUUGAGAAUGGCUUCUAGUGCACUACUAGAUUACUGCCCAUUGAGAUAAAAUUGAAAAAUUGAAUGUGAGCAAAUAUAUGCCUAUAUUAUUUGGCAAAUAUAAAUGGAUGAGAAAUAUUCUCACGAAAGAUUGGUUCAAUAUAUCAGAACCACUAGGAGAAAUUAUUUUAAAAUAAAUUCAGGGAUAUCAUAUCUUUGCUAUUUUAUUGUGUAAAAUCUCAAGCUUGAGUCAAAGAUAUGAUACAUAUCAAGGGGAAUGGGACUUGAAGCUAAAAUUUAAAAUUGGAACCAUCUAUGAGGAUACAACUACCUAAGGACUGGAGAUCCCAAGAACUAGGUCAGAGACAAACGAAUCAUAGAAUGGUUUGGGUGAAAAGCAUGCAUAUAUUAUAAAGUUGUUAAAUCCCUUCCCAUGGUGUAGAGCAUGCUCGUGAUUCUAUGACGAAGGAAAGGUUAAGAUUUGAUAUAAAUCUUUUAAUGAGUUCUAUAGCCCUUUAUGGGUGGAAUGCCUUAGUCAUAGGGGUAUUCUUGAUAGACUCACCUAUAUGAGUGUGGAAGUAAAGGCCGCUUCCUAUGAGAAUUUGGCUAAUUCUCUAAAGCACUCAUGAAUCUGGGAUAAAGCACAAGGCCGUAAUGUGCUAGCUUAAGAAGCUUGUUAAUUAAUAUCUUGAAUAUCAUGUGUGUGACAUAAUCUUACGUAUCUUGAAGUAGUCUUAGUUUCAAGGCUAUAGUCCACUUUGACUCUAAUAUGGAGAUUAUGGAAACACUAAAUGAAGGUUUCAAGGCAAUGCCACUUUCAUUAUGCAUGAUGUUCUCACUUUGUCCAAAUCUUUAUUCUUCUCAAAUUUUAUUAAAAUAAGUGGGGGAAUGUUGGUGUAUUUUAAUAAAAUCUUAAUUUUUUCCUUGACCAAAUCUUUACAAGGAGUUAUAAUAAUUUAUUUGGAAGUUAUUUGAAUUAUAAUUGUGGGAGUUUCAUUACAAGGAGUUAUAAUAAUUUAUUUGGGAGUUGGAUUUAUAAUCCAUUCAAAUGUGGAUUAAUUUUUUAGGUUACAAAUUCUACUAAUUGACUACAAUUUAAUAUGGAAAAACCGUUACACAUUUUCAACCCUUUUUCUU
rnacentral:lncRNA from 1 species